UUUCUCUUGGAUUAGAAUUUCGCAGCUGAGUCAACGCAUCCUUCCAAACGGGAAGCUUCUUAUUUUUCAGAGCAUUUGCAACUGUACUCAGUGCAACAGGCAAUCCUCCACAUUUUCCAACAAUCUCAUCUGCUAAAGGUUGAAAAGCAGAUGCUUUUGCGGAAUUGCCCACGAUCUUUUCAAAAAAUUGCAAUGCUUCUUCCUUUGAUAAAACUUCAAUUAGGAAAAUCUUCUGAGAAUUCAUAUCAUUGGUCAAUAAAUGUUUACUUCUAGACGUCAAUAUUAUCGUGCGUCUCCUUAGAUCUUGCUUUCUAUCUUUCUCAUCAACAUCCCCAAAAGGAAUUCCAAUUUCUUCCAACCCAAGUUUUUUCCAAAUAUUAUCUAAUAUAAUGAGGACUCGCUUCUCUUUCGUCAAUCUUUGACAAAGUUGUUUUGCUCUGUGGGGUUUGCUAUCAUUCAAGUCAAAGUUCAAGUCUAAAUCGGAAGCGAGCUUGUCUUGAAUUUUCUGAACAUCUGGGUUCUCUGUUACCUCAGCCAUAACGACCUUAUCGAACACCUUAUCUUCCAUAACUUGCUUUGCAAUUUGCUUGACUAGCGUGGUUUUACCCACGCCGCCCAUACCGUGGACCCCAAUUAUGUUGAGCUUAUCAUUCCUCAAUGCCUCCACAACAUCUUGAAAUAAUUUCAUUCUUGAAUCAAAGGCCUCGAAAUCUUUCGCUUGCAUAUGUUCUGUACUCUCUGGAGCAGGACGGUGGGAAACACUAGAGAAGUUGCCUUUUCCCACGAGACUAGCGGCAGCUUCUGCGGCCUUUGCUGCUUGUUUACUAAGUUUAUAACGAGAAAUCAAGUUGGGGCAAAAUCCUUUGAAGCAGGACUUCUUAGCUCUAUCUUCAUCAUCAAUGAUGGAUUUUGCAACCCCUUCACUGAUGAAUUCAUCAACGUUAUUAAGCCAGUCUGCAACAUCCUUGUAAAUCUCAUCUCUUUGUUGAGUAGCCUCACGAACGGGUAUUCCCACCCUUUCUCUUUUAUAUUCUAGCUCCUUCACUUGAACUUUUAGCUCAGCUAUGUAGCUCUGGUACUUGAACACAUAAGAGAUCUGCCGCAUAAUCGGUUCGAACAAUGCCUUUGCACCUUCUGUUACAAUGCCGGAAAAAGUAGUGGAAACCAGGUCUGCAGCCAUUGCCUAGCCUGUUGCUUUCAUACAUACAUACAUACAUAUAUAUAUAUAUAUAUUAGCUGUUGGAAAAAUUAGAUUCAAAUAAAUUAAAAUGAACUAGGGGAAAGACGGAGAAAGAAAUGACAACCAACAACUUUUUAAAAAAAGGUUUCAAGGGCCUGAAUGGAAAACCAACAAUUUAAAAAAAAAAUUGUAAGAUGGAUGCAGAUUAACCAUUGCUAAUAUUACAUAAGAACACAGAAGUUAACAAUGAACAGUACGUAGAAAAUUAAAUGACAAGAUUAAAACAAACAAGGGCUAUUUUUUCUUGGACAAUUGUACCUAUUUAAUUAUUAAAGAGUUAAUGACCUUCACUGCUGGCCUUGAAUAUAUAAGAACGACCAGAAGAUGAAUAUUAACUGCAGACGAAUGUAAGUAAAGAGUUCAUGAGAGUGAGUAAUACAAAUGAAUUGUAAAAGAACAAGACUUAAGUGUGACCCCAUCUUUUGUUUUAUUAUAUAAAUAGAACACAUGAUCAUUUUUAACAAAGUGAUCAAUAACUCUAUGCGUUAUUUAAUUGAUAUUGUAACCAAUUUUAAGGGAAUUUAAUAAUAAUCAUUCAAUGCAUAAAUUUAAAAUUAGAUUUUUUUAAUUCUUUAUUUAAAUAUAAAUCUUAAUGGAAAAUUAUAAAAAUUUAGAGAUAAAAUUUUUCAAUCACCAAGGAAAAAAAAUGGGAAUGAAAACAGAGGAAUCUUGUUUUACCUUUUUUUUUUUUUCCUUAACUCUUGUUCCUAUACAAAUAAUCUUGUUUUGAUGAUAGUGCUCGUGACUAUGGGAAAAUUUCUAAUGGAAACAACUCAAUUUCGGAAGAUAAGCUUAAUUCUGCAAGUGAUGAAUUUGUUCAAUUGACUCUGUACUUGAACUCGUUGGAUUGGUUGAUUUACGAUUGACUGCAUUUCAAUUCUGCCUAAAAGAUCUUUUUAAUAGCUAUCAUGUACUCCUUAAAAGCAAUCAUUUUUAGAUUUGACUGAAUUUGAACUUGUUGGAUUGGCUGUUUUUAGAUUAUUGAUAUGAGAUACUACAAUGUAAACAUUUUCAUGUGGCUGAGCCCUAUUCUAAAAUCUGUAUGUUGCUUUAGAAAAAGGGCUUUUCCUACUGAUAUUUAAUCUUCAAGUAAACUUAGAUAUAAAGUAAAUCAAAUAAAAUGACAAACAAGCAAUAUAAUAAAAGACAACAAACUGGCAAUAUUGAUACAAAGGCAACAGAUAUUAAACUUUAGGACAUUUUUUUCCUAGCUUUCAUUUGUUGGAGGAUUAGAGAUUUUGGUAUUACCGGAAAGCUAAAAGGUUUCAAGGGUCUGAGUAGAAACCUAUAAUCUUUUUAAAAACUUUCUUUUUCUUUUUUCUUUUUUCUUUUUUUGGGGGGGGGGGGGGGGGGGGGGGGGGAAGAAUGCAAGUUAACCAAACGAAAUAAUAAGAGCACAGGCUUUAACAAUGAACAAUAACUUAAAACUCAUGCAAAGUAAAUUCAAUAUUAAAACAAACCAGAGAAAUUUUUUUUCUUGGAAAAUAGAUGGAAAUUAUGAAAGAACAGAUGUCAAGAUCAAAGAUCUACUAUACACAAACACACACAUUAGAGGAUUUGGAAAAUGUGCACCUCUUUAAUUAUCUGGGAUUAGAGAGUUGGUGAGAUUCUCCAUUUGGCCUUGAAUAUUUAAGAACAACCUCAAAGAGCAAAAAGAUCACCGGUAACUGCCGAGGAAUGUGUAAGAAAAGGGUUGAUGAGAAUAAUAACAUUGACUUGCAGAAGAAAAAGCAUUAAUCAAGCACCCCUUUUUUAUAUCAUGUAUUUGGUUAUUGUUGCCCUGUUUACGCACGUAUAGGAUAAUUAUAUGCAAUCUUUUUUUAAAAAUCCACAUGCACUUUAGGGCUUCUUUCAUAAAAGCAGAUACCGGAAACACACAAAAAUCAUUUGAGAGAGAAACCGAACAGCAAAUCAUCAAAGUAAGAUCAACAAUAUAUGAUUUGAUUAAUGCAUAUUCAAGAACAAAACAAAAAUAAAUAAAUNNNNNNNNNNNNNNNNNNNNNNNNNNNNNNNNNNNNNNNNNNNNNNNNNNNNNNNNNNNNNNNNNNNNNNNNNNNNNNNNNNNNNNNNNNNNNNNNNNNNNNNNNNNNNNNNNNNNNNNNNNNNNNNNNNNNNNNNNNNNNNNNNNNNNNNNNNNNNNNNNNNNNNNNNNNNNNNNNNNNNNNNNNNNNNNNNNNNNNNNNNNNNNNNNNNNNNNNNNNNNNNNNNNNNNNNNNNNNNNNNNNNNNNNNNNNNNNNNNNNNNNNNNNNNNNNNNNNNNNNNNNNNNNNNNNNNNNNNNNNNNNNNNNNNNNNNNNNNNNNNNNNNNNNNNNNNNNNNNNNNNNNNNNNNNNNNNNNNNNNNNNNNNNNNNNNNNNNNNNNNNNNNNNNNNNNNNNNNNNNNNNNNNNNNNNNNNNNNNNNNNNNNNNNNNNNNNNNNNNNNNNNNNNNNNNNNNNNNNNNNNNNNNNNCCCCAGGGGAAAAUCUGGAAUUCCUUUUUUUAAUUUUUUUUUUUUUAAAAAAACCCCACCGGAAAUUCUUAAAAUUUGGAAAAAAAAAUUUUGAGUCCCUUAUUCUGGGGGGGGGGGGGGGGGGGACGAAAACAGAGGAAACUUGUUUUACAUUUUUUUGAUCUUAACUCUUGUUCUUAUAUAAUAUUUUCCCUGGGAUUUCAGGCAAACCAAACAAAAAAAAAAAAAUUCAAUAAAGAGCAAGUUGCUCUAAUUGAUUUAUCUUGUUUUUCAGGCUAUUUUGUGACAUGAUGAUAUGUAAUGCUCUUGAAUGCUAGAAAAAUUCUAAUGCAAACAUUUUUGCAAAUGACGAAUGUAAAUAACUUUUUUUGAUUAAUUGAAUCUCUAAUACUCUUACCCUAUUCUAAAAUUUGUAGGUUGCUUCAGAAAAAAAGGGUAUUUCUCACUCAUCUUCAAUCCUCAAGCACAAUUAGAUUAAAAGCAAAUCUAAUAAAAUAACAAACAAAUUAACAAAAAAAAGAAAAAGAAAAAAAACAAUGUUGAUCUUGAGACAAUUGAUACUUAAACAGAGAAUUCUUUGUUCUUUUUUUACUCCCCCUGGCUCGAGGAUUAGAGUCUUUCUUUGCUAUUAACAGAGAGGUUUUAAGGGUCCGAAUAAAAACCCGCGCUUUUUUUAAAAACUUCUUUUUUUUUUUUUAUUGGGGAAGAUAGAUUCAAAUUAACCAAAGCUAGUAAUAAGAACACAGGCCUUACAAAUGAACAAUAACUUACAACUCAAGCAACAUAAAUAAUAAGAUUAAGACAAACAUGAGAUUUUUUUCUUCGAAAGUAGAUGGAAAUCAAGUAAGAACAGCUAUUAAAAGAAAUUACUAGAGAAUUUAGAACAUGUGUACCUCUUUAAUUAUUUGGGAUCAGAGAGUUGAUGAGCUCUCUAUUCGCCUUGAAUAUUAAGAACUGGUAUUAAAAGAAAUUAUGAAGAACAAUUUUAGUGAGCGAUAGAUCACUGUUAACUUCAGAGGAAUUUGUGAGUAAAAAGCUGAAAAGAGCCGUAAUAAUGAAUUACAAAAGAAGAAGACUUAAUCAAGCACCCCUUUUAUACCCGAUUUUUAAGAUUUAGUCUUGAAGUUCACAAUCAAGAACAAAGACGAAGCUUUAAUAAAGCAUGCAGUGAGAUACAAGAAAUGGAUCGGGCAAAAUACCUUACGAAGCGUUUCAUAUUUUCUAAUGAAAUAAUUAAGUUGAAGUUUUCGACGAAUAAAUACUUGUUGUGCUUGAAUAAUUUUGGCAUAUACGUUACUUGUAUCCUGCGAAAUUGAAAAGCACAUUGGUUUAUUAGAGCUUAUUAGGAGGGAAAAGCUUUGUAAGAUACCUGAUAAAAGAUAAAGUAAAAGCUUGAAUGAAGAAUGACAUUUUAGAAAGAAACUAAAGUGCAAUCAUCAAAGUGGGAUCAAUAGUGACUUGAUAUUUCAAUUGUUCUGUCCACAAAUGAUGCUUCGUUAUUACUAAUUCCAGAUGGACAUUAUUAGAAAAUGAUCUUAUGUUUAACAGAAAAAUAAAAACUCGUCAUCAUACAAAACAGCGUGAAGAAAUCUUCAAUUUGAUUAUUAUAAAAUAAUAAGUUUCAUUACUAGAUUAUGCGGACAUUAAUGUUAGAGAUUUGAUCAGAUUAUCAUAUAAUUUACUAAACGCUUUGAGAAGAACAAUAAUUAAUUUUUAAAAAAUUGAAAAAUAAAUUAAAUAAAGAGUACACGCAAAUAAUGUUACUUCCAAUCACCAAACUGAAAAACAGGGGAAUGAUAACAGACGAGUCCCUGAUUAUCCUCUCUCUCUCUCUCUCUUUUUCAAUCUCUCUCUUUGAUAUCCAUAUCUGAGCAUCAGAGCUUGACAUCUUUGAUAAAUAAAUAUGCUUACUGGUACUGUUUUUGCAUAUGUCUUUCACAAAAUCAUUGUAUACGCUUACAUAGAGAAGAAGAUUCAGAUAACUUUCAAAAUCUGAAUCCGCCUGAUGGACAGGCUUGACCACACAGCCCCGAGACAAGGAAGUCCAAGCAACUAAUCUAAACCGUUCUCCUUUAUUAGCUAGAUUUAGUAUUUGGGUUCUUUAUGUAAAACGACACUAUGAUCUUGAAAUUUUGAUUUAAUUAAUAAAUAGUUAAAUUCUUAAUGUUUCAGGAGUAGAUACAUAGACUCUCUUCUAAUUUUAGUCAUUACAAACAAUGCCAUUGUGCGGUUAUACUAUUGCUUCUUUUAUGAAACCAUUCUCACCAUCACAUAGAUCUUGGCAUAUAGAGUCUCAUAAUGUCAUCAAAUAAUUUUUUUUUUUUUUAAAAACAUAAAAUAUGAUACAUGUAUUCAUUUUUUUUCAAAUUAGGGUGUAUUAUUCUUAAAACUUAAGUGUUCUACUUAUAAAUAUCUUGAAGGUGUGAGUGUUUUCUUUUCGUAAACAAACCGUAAAAGAAAAAGAGGAACAAUAAUUUUUUACUUAUCCUUAGAGAUAAGAUUCAAUCGGGAUGUGAGUAAGUGUGUUUUUCUUUUUUUAUUAUGCUAAAUUAUCGAGUCACAAAGCAUAUUGAUUCAAAAGUAUAACUUUAUACUGAUGAUAGAUAAUUUCAAAACAAUGGAAUGAAAACAGAGGAGCUCCCCCCUCCCCCACCCCAAUCCCCGCCCCCCCCCCCCCCCCCCCCCAAAAAAAAGUUCUUCUUCUUUUAUAUAUUUUUCUUGGAAUUUUAGGUAAAAGAAAAAAAAAACUGAGAUUGAUUUCAAGGGAACAGGUGGAUAAUAACUAAAAUACUUAUUUUUAUAUAUUUGAUAUGUGCGCUCACUAUUAAUAGAACUUAUUAGAUACUACAACUUAAAUAACUUCCCAUGGUUGAUUGAGGGUAUGUUUGAGAUUUCCUUUACUUUCCAAGAAUUAAUUUCUACCUUGAUUCUGAACAAAAAAAUAAUUUUACAAAUAAUCUAUUAGGGUGUUUGGUAAAUGAUGAUUAUUUGACAAUCAAUUUUUAAACGGUUUACUAUACAAAUCUGGUAAAUGAAAAUUAAAAGUGUAAAAUGUUCAUGUACAAUGACAAAAAUGUACUUGUUUACUUGUUUGUAAUUUAUUUAGAAUAUUAUUAUUUAAAUCUUUUUUUAUUUACAAGAUUUUUUAAGAGCAUAUUCUAUUUUCUUUAUUACAUAUUUAAAUAAUUUUUUAUUAACUAUUUUAAUUUGCAAUAAAAUUAACUUCAAUAUCUUUUUAACUAAAAAAUUUGUUAUGUAGUUCGUGAUAUAACAAAUACUAACAUAUCAUUAGUUUGAUUAAUAAAUUAAGUGCAAAAAAGAAAAUGCAAAAAUUUAAUCUUUAUAUAAACUUUUAUGUACAUAAAAUCAUUGUAAUCAAACUAGUUCAUAGAAAUAUAAUAUUAUAUACAUGUGUGUAAAAAAAAAAAACAUAUGACCAUAAUAUUAUCCACUCAUUAAACUUGCUGCACUAUUAUUUCUCAAUCUCUCCAUCUCUCGACCUUCAAGAACAUUACUACCAUAAUCUUCUUCUUCUUGAAUCCAACCUCUAUUUCCUCAUCAUCAACAAUGCGACCAAUUUGCCUUGAUAGCCUUUCAACUAGAAUAGAGUUGGCAGUAGAUAUUUUAGUACUCUCAAACUAUGCCCAAACAGGGUCACCAGUGAUUGUUGUAUUAAAAGACAUUCUAUUUAAUUUUCCUCUGACUCUGGGUCGAUACCUUUUAUGCAAAAUCUAUUUACUUAAGGAAUUUUCUACACAUGUCGAUAUCAUAUUAAAGUGAAUUCAGAUCCUAUAUUAUUGACAUUAAAAUUUAGCCGAAUAGUAAAAAAUUUCCCUUUUUGUUUGUCACACAACCAUAUAGUCCCAUUUUUGGUUAUAAGCUCACAAUAUGUAAGGGAAAUGAAGAUCUAUUAAAACUUUCCCAUAAUAUUAAACAUUAAACAAUAUCAACAUUUUGUGCAUAUGGUGCCUCAUCAACAAUUUGAUGUUCAUUUUGUUGCUCGGAGGAAUAUGACUACCUAUUAAUUAAUUAGCAAGAAUUGCGUUGCGAGUCCAUGUUUUUGUCGUUUGGAUGGAGGAUGUGCCAUCUUUUUAUUGUAGAUGCUUUGUAAGGCUUUUGAUUUAAUGAUUUAAUGCAGUCAAUUAACAAAAGCUUACAUAUAUUAUUAUGUAGUUGCUGAGAUGUCUGUUCUUGAUAAAGUCGAUUUAUUUACACCCAAGCCAACGGAAUCAAAGCCUUUUCGUUAAUAAUAUACACGGUAAUUGUUUUUGUUAAAUUGAUUUCUGGCUAACAAGAUAUUUGAAAGCAUUUAGGUAGCGUUUACAUUUUGCGUUGGAGUGAGAAUCGUGAGAAAUGAGAAUCCUGGGAUUAGGAGUGUGGAGUGGGAGUCGAAGUAUGUUGUUUACUUACACUGAAAUGGAAGUAUGGAAUUGAAAUCAGAAUCCAAUUUAUUUGUUUACAUUGUCUUAGAUUGUGAGUAAUGAUUUUAAAUUACAGCUUUACUCUUAAAGAAUUAUAGUUAUUAAUUACAAAAUUAAUAAAAAUUAUAUUUUUAAAUUAAUAAUAAUUAUUAAUAUUCUUAACUAUGUAAAUCACAAUUAUUUUAUUAAUUUUAAUUUUAAUUAUAUAAAUAAAAAAUUAUUAAUAACAACAAUACAAAUGAAACAUUAUUAUUGAUAAUAUAGUACAAAAUUAAUUUUUUUAGAAUAAAAUAUUUAUUAUUAUUAAUUACUAAUAUUAAAUAAAUAUAAUAGUAUUAUUUUUAAAUAAGUAUAAUAAUAUUAUAUUUUCAAAUAAAAAUAGAAUAUAGUAAUAUUAUUAAUUCUUUAUGAAUAUAAUGAUAUUAUUUUUAAGUAAUUUUAACUUAGAAUCAAUGUAAAUUAUUAUUUUUAACCAAAAAAUUAAUAUUAUUUUAAAUAUGUUUAAUAUUAUUAUUUUUAAUAAAUUUAAUUUAUAAAAUAAUAAAAUAUUAUUAUUUAAAUAAAUAUGAUUUUACUUAUUUUAUUAAAUUUAAUAAAAUAAAUAUGUUUAAUAUUAUUAUUUUUAAUAAAUGUAAUUUAUAAAAUAAAAUAAUAAUAUAAGUUAAAUAAAUAUGAUAUUAUUUAUUUUAUUUUAUUAAAUAUAAGGGUGAAAAAGGAAGAGAGGCGAGUGAAUUUCCACUCCCACCUUCCUCCAUGGGAGUGGGAAUCUCACUCCCCCACUCCAAAAUUAGGUGGGAUCCACGGAGUGGAAUUCUCACUUCCCCUUUGAAAAUUGUAAGUAAACACUGGAGUAAGAGGAAUCCACACUCCUCACUCUCACUCCAAAAAGUAAACACUAUAUUAAAGAAGUCAUUGACUUAUAAGAAAGCCAUGAUUAAAUACACGGCGAAGCAUGUGAGCUCGUUUUUCAAUUUCUUUGAUCACUCAUAAGUAGGGGUGGGCAAAAUCGGAUUCGGAUUGGGUUCGGGUUGAUUUGAUCAAUUUCGGAUCAAUCGGGUUGGGGAAAAAAUCAUCCGAACUCAAUCCGAAUUAUUAACCCGAUCCAAUCCGAUCCGAAUAUAAUUCGGAUCGGAUUGGAUCGAAAAUUCGGAUUAAUUCGGAUUAGAUUCAGAUUUAAAAGCAUUCGGGUUAUAUAUCCAUUCUAUAUUUCUGGGUUAAUUUCAGAAGCAAUCAAGUAAAACAAUCAACCUUUUCUCAAGAUAUAGUUUUGUUUUAAGCUUUUUAAAUUAAAUUAUUUAAAACAAUAUAGUCAAUACCACCAAAAACUUGGUGACAGUGAAUGUGGAGGUGAAUUUAGUUGUAGCAGUUGUGGUAACCGGUGAAGCUAGUGGCAGCAAGCGGUAGCAGUCGAGGUGUAGUAGAUUCCAUCGGCACGUUGCGGUUGCAGCGAUGGCUUAGCUUUGAACGAUCGCGUCGGUGACUGAUGGCUGCUGGUUCACGCAGUUGCAUCUCCGAUUUGCUGGCUGCUGCUUCUUGCGGUUGCAUCUCCGAUCUGCUCGCCGCUGCUUCGCUGACAUCUCCGAUCUCCGAUGGUUUGGCUUCGCACGAUCACAUCGGUGAUUGCUGGCUGCUGGUUCGCGGCUUCGCGCGGCCGCAUCUCCGGUCUGCUGGUUGCUGCUUCUUGCGGUUGUAUCUCCAAUCUGUUGGCUGCUGCUUCGUUGUUUGGCAUCUCAACAUUUCCGAUCUCCGAGGCCAAACCUCUAUUUGUGUGUGACCGUGUGUGAUGUGAGUGUGUGUGUGUGCACUUACAGAUUAUUUUAAUUUAGAUCUAAGAUUUGCUUUUUGUGUGGUGUGAAUCCGAUUUUGUUGUGUUUGCCACUUUGUUAGUUUGUUACACAGUUUUUUUUUUAAGCCAACCCGAUCGGGUUUUCGGAUCGGAUCGGGUUUCAUCCGAUCCGAUCAUGAUCCGAUCGGGUUGGCAAAGUUACAUCCGAUUGGAUUUUGUUAACAAUCCGAUCCGAUCUGAACCCGAUAUUUUUUGGGUCAGAUCGGAUCGGAUCGGGUCGGAUAUUUUGCCCAACCCUACUCAUAAGCUUUUCUAUACCACUCACUAUAUCAUCCUUUUAAGUCAAUUUCGACUGAUCAUCAGAGAUCAUGCACCCCACCUUGAGAUGAUUGAUCACCAAUUUGGCAUUGUAACGUUGAUCACCUCUAAUUGCCCAUGCUAAAAUUGAGACCCCACAGCCAAUUGCUUCUACAGUUGAAUUUUAUCCACAGUGAGAUAAAAAUCCACCUAUUAAUUGAUAACUCGGCAUCAAUAAUUGUGGUGCCAUUCCAUCUAUUAUCAAACCCUUUUUACCGGCUUUACUAUCUAAACCACUAUGAAAAUAAGCUGGUUAAAUGACGUGGAGGAUCCAAUCUAUUUACAUCAGUUUGAAUUACCUAAAUAAUCGGUGGAUUUGAUGCUUCUAAAUCAUUGGCUAAUGUUGAAUAAUCAUUUAAGGUGGGACCCAUUUCGGUACCAAAUGACAUGUAUAACACUGAUCCACAUGAUUUCAAAUCUAACCAUUGAAUGAUCUCAUCUUUGGUCAUGUUAGAACUCCGCCGGUUGGUUCUCAUCUCACAAUCACGAAGCACUGAACCGGUCGAUUUGUAAAAUUGUUCAGGUAACAAUGGGCCCACUCCCCACACUAGCAUCAACACCAUCGAUCCCUCCACUUGCUUCAUCCAGUGUGGUUGAUCACUCGGUUCUGAUGGACCUAUUUUCUCUGAACCGGGUGCACCUCACAAAGGUUGUGGGCCACCAGGAAGGGACCCGUGAGGCCUGCGUUUAAGAUCUGAUUGGAAUAAAGCAACAUCCUUGGGUAACCCAAGAAGUAAAUGGGCCUCUCCCGGUUUGGCAUCCUGGAUGCGAGCCUGCCACAUGGCACACUCCACAGCUGCUGAGCAAGCAUCAGAAGUGAAGAACCCAACAAUGGGAACUUCAAAAUUCUUGAAAACAUCAGCCGUCCAGCCCAUCAUAACGCCGAUGACUACGCAAACAGGUCGGCUUUCGGGUUCCGGGUUGAAAGGAGGUUUCGAAGACCCUGAAGCAUUUGGUUGUGCAUGACAACAUGGAGGUAAGAAGGAGGCGAUGGUAGUAGUGGAGAUGAGGAGGGUAUUUCGGUAAUUUCACAUAGAGGGUAUUGGUGAAGAGAGGAAGGGGUGAUGCUGGUGGUGGAAACGUGAGAGGGAAUAAUGAGGGUAGAUUUGUAAUUACGAGAAGCAAUUUGCUUGCAUAAUUCAAUGCAUGGAAACAGAUGUCCCUGACCGAAGAACGGGACAAUCCAAAUCUCAGCCUCAGCAGCAUUCGCAACAGAGCUUGACAUCUUUUAUGAAUUAUUUGAGACUUAAUUGUUAUUGACUGCUUUUGCCAUCUUUCAUAAAACAUUCUUUGUUAUAUAUUCAAGUAAAUAAAUUUAUCGUUUAAAAUUAAUUUUUCAUGUGGUAAAAGCAAUACUAAAUAUGGGGUGGAGAGAAUAAUUUGUAGGGCAUACCCCCACCAUUUAUUUAAUUUCAUUAAAAAAGAAAGAAAAGAAAUAAAGGCUUGUUCAACAUUCAAUUAAAAUUAACAAUUCCAUGAUAAAAUUACUUGAGAAUAAAAAUUUUUAAAAAAAAAGUAACUCAAAAACGAGGAAUUUUUGAGUAACUGAAGAACCAUAGAUGUUUUUUGGUCAUGAGCAAUUUUUGAGUUGACACAGAACUUGUAUAAAAAAAAUAGUUUUGAAAACUUCUUUUCUUUUUUCGUAAAUAUAGAUAUAAAAUUUUAAAAUCACCAAACACAAAACCAGGAAAAUGGAAGGAGAGCCCCUGUUUCUCCUAUGUUGCAAGCACAAAUUCGGUUUCUAAAGUUGUACCUUCUAAAUGCACCAUUUGUAUUGCUUUGUCUCCACUUGAGCUAACGGAAUUUGAUGAAAACAAAAUAAUUGAACGAUAGGGAUAAAUAUCAAAGAAGGAGCUUACAUGCCCUAUAUAUUCUCUUUGGAUGAAUAACGAAGGUGAGCUUUCAAAGUACAGAGAUUUACAUGUUUUAAUUGUCAUUUACAUUGCUGCAUGCUAAUUGCUUGAUAAAAUACCGCAACAAAUACGCAUUCUCGAUUUCUUAUAAAUUUAUUUUCUUACUCUGAAAAAAAUUGAAUGUUUAGAGAAUUUUGAAGGUUUUGGUGUAUGCAUUAAUAUUUUGAUUCUAUUUAUGUUGUUUAACUAAUGAAGAUGAUACAUCUAGCCUCUUUUUGCCCCUUGUUGUUUUUAUUCUUGUGCUUUAUAUACGGUUCAAGUGUGAUACACUUUAGUUUUUCUCAAGUGUUUGUUAGUAUUUCCCGAAGCAAAAUUUGUCACAGACUUUUAGUUCAAAAGUUGAAAUCAUAACUAACAUACUUCGAUUUUUUAUUUUCCUUUUUUCUUCGGUAUCUUUCUAUAUGGCAUUGCUUGAGAAAUUGGUGUACUUAGAUCGUAAUAUUCUGUAGAAAUAAGCCAAUAUUUCAUUAUGUACAUUGUUUAAUAUGAUAAGUAUUGUAUGGAAGUUUUACAGAUAAGCUCCUUAUAUAUUAUGCAUUAUGUUUUUAUCAUAUUGUUGCUUGGAACUUUGAAGGAUUAGCCACAGGGCUUUAGUCCUACAUGGACAUUUUAUAUUUAACAGCUGGUUAGGCAUUUUAUUUGAUGUUAUUUGGACUUGUAGGUGUUAAAAGUUUUGUUCAGUAAUUUUAUAAUUCAGAUUCCCAUUGUGAAAAGAUAGCAAUUUUUAUUGUGGGUCAGAUUCUGUCAACUGAUAUUUAGCUAAAAUAUCUCACUAACCCCUAUUGGUUAGGUGUUUUUUUUAAUUCACAUACUUGAUUUUUAUUUUCUUUUUAUCUGUGGAAUCACAUGUAUCAUUCAUAAGAAACAAGCUAUUAUAUAAUCUAUUCUUUAGAUCCAUUUAUAUGUAGUGGGCACUCUGAUUUCUAUUAUUUGAAUUUUUUGCUACUGUUACUACUCUUUCGGCCCUUCAAAUAGGGGUUAACAGAAAGGGUGAGUAUAUUAAUACAAAUUCAAACUUUCUUUUUCUAAUUUUAUCCAAAAUAACCUACUAUAUUAUUUUAAUUUCCAACUUUUGUCAUAGUCUAAUGGGCAGUUGUCUUGUCAUUAUUUGGUUUUAGGUAAGAAGAGAGAAAGUUAGUGAGAGGAUGAAAAUUUUGCAAAAACUUGUUCAUAGCUAUGGUAAUUAAGUAAUUUGAGUUCUUUUUUUUUGUUAUUGUUUUUUAUUCACUUUUUCCUGUCUUAAAACAAAUAACGAGUUUUUGUGUUUUUAAUAUUUCUUAUAAACUUCAUGUUGUUUGGUAUAAAAUUAGGUAAUUGGAAAGGUCUCAUGUUGGAUGAAAUUAUCAAUUAUGUGCAGUCCCUACAAAAUCAAGUGGUCGUCAAUGUGUCAGCAUCACUUUCUUCUUCAGAUGUUACUUGUUUUUCACAUUUAUUUUUCUCUCAGUCCUUUUUAAAAGAACAUACACACACAUACUAUGUAGAGUGACCUUUUUUAAUGAGGAAUCUGUCAUUUUAAUAAAAUGAAGAAUAAACUAAAAGGUAGAAGUACACGAACUCUAAUGCAAUAUACCUUUUCUGUUCUUUUACCUUUACUAUAAGAUAGGGAAUGAUAUAAAACUGUUCGAUAAUAGUAAGUGAAAUAAUUAAAAGGCUACUGUUCUAGCUCAUUUAAUAUAUCAAACUUUUCUAGCUCAUUUAAUAUAUCAAACUGCUCGAUAAUUGAAUUGGCCUAGUUAAACAUAAUUUUCAGAUAAUCUUUUUAAUGGUUUAUUUAUUAAUAUUUUGUUUCUUUCCAGUAUGAACACUUUGUUUUGACACGUGGUUAACAACCUUCAACGAACUCGGAACAACCUUCAUCACAUGCUUUCUCACGUGGUUACUUAAACUGAUAUGUUAAACGUGCUCCAUCCACGCCGUUUCCACUAAAUCAUUUUCUGUUAAGAAUCAGCUGAGCAGCGCGUGAGCUAAUGAAGUUUUUCGUAUUGAACUCAACUCUGCUAUUUUCCCAAAGCUGGAAAGCAGAAACAUCAUCCCUUUGGUUUUAUUUCACCUCAACCUUUUUCUGAUCCCAUUUUCAUUGUAAUUUCUCAUUUACUUUGAGUGAAAGUCAUUGUUGCUUUCGAACGAGGUUUUGCAACUAAAAAGGAAAAUGGGGCGGCUACAAUACAUGCGUGCAUCUGAUACAUGCACAAAAACUGACCAUUGGAUUAAAUGGAGUGAUCUAAUGGCUGAGAUUUGUUUCAUUAUUAAGCAAUAAAAAAAUUUGAAACAACCAGAAACCUGUAAAACCGGUCAUUUGGUUUAAGGUAAAAAUAUAUAAAUGAAAAAAAAAAAAAAAAACCCACCACUCCCUCGCCUCACCUCUCUUCUUUUGGGUUUAGUAUUGCUGCUUUUAACAUAAUUGACCUAUGGCCCAAAUCAUUUCUAUAGGGCGAAGCAUAUGAAUGAUACAUAUUAUCUUUUUUUGGCCUUAUGUCUUGUUAUUUGCAGUGUGAUUUGGUCUAGCUUAAGAGCUUAAGCUUGCAGGUUGGAUUUGUCUGACAGGGAACAAUUUAAUUUGUUCAUCGUGAUGUUUAUAUCCAUUUUGUACUACUAUCAAUUUCAAUCAUGCCUAAUUUUUAUAUGUAUUUCUCGUGGACUCUCAGGUUCAGUGCACAAGAGGAUGAAGACGAUGGACACCCAAAUUUGAUGUGGAGAACAACUAUUGCAAAUGGUCCUUGAUUUACUUCUCCAAUUGACUUGAAUUGGUUUGACGCAAUUUAUACUGUAUUUUUGUCAUCUUUGUAUGACUUGCACGUCGUCCUGAUUUGGUACAUGACUGGACACAGGAAUUGGACUCAUAUUUUUCAAACCAGAAUGCCAACAAUCAAGCAUUUUCUUUUGAAAGCACUGGCGUCUUCUUCAAUGCCAAAAAGGUUAGAGAUUUUCUGUAUCCUGUUUUGUAUUUGAUCAGUUUAGCAUGUGGGUGGCAAUCAAGAAAAGUUAUUAUAACAUUUUUGUGUUCCCGAAAAACUGCUGAUGAUGUGUGACUUCUUUUUAUUUGUAUUCUUUCUUUUUCUUUUCUCCCCAACAGUAUUAUGCAUUUCGAAGAGCUUCUUGAAGUUGAUUACCAUGUAUGCCACUUUCUUUACUCUAUGCUCAGGAUGUGAUUUUGCCAAGCAUUAAAAUGGUUUAGGUCAGAACCAUCAUCUAAAGUUUACUUAAAGUUGACGGAUUAAUUCCUUUUAAUAAUGGUCUAGUUAAUUUUACUAUACUCAUAAAACUAUUCUUAUUCUGAUAAUGCCACAAAUGUUAUGAUGUUUUCUUCAGCUAAUGAUCUUCUAUCAGGACUAGUUAGAAAUCAAAUGCUUAAAACACCGAUUGAAUGAAUAAUGCAGAAGUUUAAACAGUAUCUAAUUGAAAAUUGCAUGAAACAUGAAACAUCAAUUCAAGUCCUUCCUUAAACAAAGAAUGCAUCAAACAAAUCCAAAGUGUCUUGCAUGUCUAUAGCAUGACAAAAAAGUUGUAAAUGCGUUUAGAACCAAAUUAUUCAAGUACAGGAGAACGAGCAAGUUGAAUCAUGUACACGAGAUUGGCCUGGUUCGAGAUAGCUUCUUCACUGUACCUGAAGGGUUGGCUCAAUCUUUUCUUUAGAAUUCUGCACAUUUUGUAAUUACUCGUGUAAGCAAGCAUACAUUACAACUCUUGUACACAAACAAUAUUGUAUAAACUAAUGCGACAUAAUAUGAUUGGUUAAACAAAAACAUUACAUAGCCCUCAUAAUUUAUUUAUUUAUUUAUUAUUAUAUAUUUUCAGUCAACCAAUCAUAUUAUAUUACAUUAGUUUCUAUAAAAUAAUUUUCUAAAUAGCACCAAAACUUAAUUGAUACUCACCAUUUCAUUGAACAAUUUUUUUAUGGUGUCAUUGAGGUUGCCUUCCCAACAUCCUUCAUCAUCAUCAUCUUCUUCAUCAUCAUCUUUUUCUUCUUCGGUGACGUUCACUUUGUUUAGCAUUGGUGUGUCUAAGACUCCUUGAGAGAAGAUCAUCAUUUUUGGACACUCUCUCACAACUACUUGUUUCAAGGACGGGAAUUCAAGAGCGUAAUUACCUAAACAAAAGCUUGUUAGGCUUGGCAAACAAUCAAGUCCCAAGUACUUUAAUUCCUUGAAAACAAUGCAAUCUUUCGCUUCUUCUGCAACCGGCGACUGUAUGAUUUCUUCCAUCAUUUUGCAAUCAACUAUCUUCAUUCUUCCGAGAUUCACUAGAUUUUUAGAUGCUGAGAGCGUCAACACAUUUAUCAACCCGUGACACUUCGAUACUUGUAGUCCCCACAGAUUUUCCAAAUGCCACGAAGGUGGUACUAAUUUUUGCAACUUACUACAUUCCGAUAUUUCUAGCCUUUUCAAGUUUGCAAACGCUUUGUUGGAUUCGUCAUUUUCCUUCCAGAGAUGCUGCACUUUGUGUAAUCUAGAUAGCUUUAACUCCUUCAAUUGAGGGAAUGUAAGCUGAAAAUCAACAAAAUUAAGUUGUAAAUGAAAGUAUGUAUCCAAUCUCUGCAGUCUUCCCCUGCAUAUUUUAUGGACAAGAUUAAUCACGGCAUUUUAUAUUUUAUUUCCAAAUUAGUAUGCUUUGCAGUAGGAUCCCAAAUAUAAGUAUCAAAUCGAUUACCCUUUGAAACACAUAAAUGAAAUCUGAUACUAAAUCCAAUAUGAAUUAGCUAGGAAAACAGAGAUGCGACAAGCAUAAUUGAUAUAGUUCAUCACCUCAUGUUACCAGUCAUCGAAAUAAUUUAAGACAUUUUUUUAAUUCAUACUAUAAAGUUAGUUCAUAACUGUAGUUGUAUUGUUAAUUCAUAUAUGAAUCAAGAUGACAUGCAAAAAGAUGAGUCAUAAAAUUUGAUUUGAUUCUAAUGAAAUUACAUCUGUGCGAACAAAAGUGAAGGGGAAAAUAAUAAUAAUAAUAAUAAUAAUAAUAAUAAUCACCUUUUCAUCGAAGAGGGGUUGUACUUGAUGAGCCAGCAAAAAGUUCUCUUCUGAUGUUAAUUUUUGAGGUUCCUUGUUAUUUGUUGUCACAUGCACUACAGAGUUGGAUAUGAAUGUUUCCAUAUCAGGGCAAUUCUCAAUAGUUAGAUUCUCCAACUCAGACAGUUCAAUUAUAUUCCCAGUGAAGUUGCAGAAUCUUUUGAGUUUUGGAAGAUCAAUGAGCCUUAGUCUGUUAAGCCUAGGAAACCGGGGGCCUAUAUGUUCUUCCUUAGCAUUUAGCUCUUCUAAAUGAAGCACCUCUUCUAUUAAAUCACAAUUCCUCACUUCCAGGCAUCUCAAAUUGUUCAAGCAACGUAGCAGAUUGGUAGGAAUAGCACUCGACAUAUUCGUGCAGUCAUCCACAGCCAGUUGUCGUAAAUUGUUGAAGAAGCUGACAGGCACUGCUUGGCCGUGCCAUAUUUCUCUCAAGCGUGGAAAAUGUGAGAGUUGCAAAUGCUCUAUGUCACGGAAUCCAAUCUGCAUAAACCAAAACAAUUGCACUGGAUAUAUAUAAAUUUCUUUUUUUGAAAGGCAUUAGAUAUAUAUAUACAUUAAACUUACAUGUUUUGUGCUUUAACUUCUAAAAAUAUAUUUACAACGCAGGUGUAUAUGUUUAAAUGUGGUAUAGUGGAAUUAAGCUUAUUGCCAUUACUUCGUAAUGGUGUUCGUAACACCAUUACUUCGUAAAGUGAAUCGAUUAACACAUACCAUUACUUCGUAACACUUUUGUAUAGUGGAAUUAAGCUUAUUGCCUUCCCAAUGGUGUUCACCCUCUUCCCUUUCAGUCACUUGCACUACGUAUAGCUUUGGUGUGGAUGAGAUUCCCCGAGAAAAAGUCUUCAUGUUCGGACAAUGUGUCAUAGAAACUUGUUCCAAUGAUGGGAAUUCAAGAGUGUAAUUCUCCAAACAAAAGCUGGUAAGCCUUGGUAAAUCAUCAAGUUCCAAAAGUUUUAAUUCGUUGAAAGCAAUACGAUUCUCCUUCGCUUCUUCUCCAACAUGUCCUAUGAUUUCUUCUAUUUUUGCACAGUCUGAUACAUCAAGAUUCACUAGACUAUUGGGAAUUCCAACCUGAAAAUAAAGAGUAGCAUUCAACUAGAUUCAAAGUAUGUCAAAAUCAUACAAUUGUUUUAUGAAAAAUAACAAACCAUGAAUGUCUACUAGAUAUUUUUUGUUAAAGAAAAAAAAGAAAAAAUAAAAAUAAAUAAAUAGAAGUCCAGAAAAACAAAGAUAAUGAAAAUGCAUUUACACUAUUUAGUAUUAGGAACGGAGAAAGAAUUUCAGGUAAUUUUUAAAUAUUCUAAAUUCAUUUUUCAUCUCGAUGCUAGUUUUUUAAAAUUUUUAAUUUUCAAACAUGCCUAUUUUUAAAAUAACUAAACUAAAACGCUGUAUUUCCCUUUUUUUUUUUUUCCCGAUAUUCAUGCUUUUAAAAAUGGAAAACAUUUCUGGAAAACACUUCCCAACGCCAUCAACAUGGGACUGUUAUAGAGUGAAUAUUUGAGGAAUUUUUUAAUCAACGGUCGAUUCAAAAUGACCAUCAUGAAUUUGUGCUUAAUCAAUGGCGUAAUCAAUUCAUAACUAAACUAGAGAUAUUAACUACAUUUGAACACUUUUCUUUAUUUUUUUUUAAAUCGAAAUUUGAAGACCCAAGGAAAAGAGAAAUAUAUAUGAAUUUGUGAGCUUAAAAGCUGAGUAACUAAGUAUCUUUUAAUUUCUAAAAAUCUUAUUUAUUAGGAUUUAAGGAAAAAAACAAUUAAAUUGAAUUAUAUUAUGCUGUUAAAUCGUGUUUAAAACAAUUAUAUCGUUGACUUUAAUGCGGGUGAACCUAUAAAUUAGAUUGACAAUGCAGAGUUCAGAAUGGUGAUUUGAAGUACACUACUUUUUUGCCCUCCUGAUGUUUGAAGUAAAAUACUUGCAAUAAAUAAUUUGUGAAUGAAAAUUAUUUGUAAACACAAAAAUGAUUAAAAUAAUUGUUGAAUGUUACUUGAAAUAAAAAUUCAAAAUGAAUAUAGCAAUCUUACCAAUGGAGGAAAAAUAUUCAGUAGAUUAUUACACCCAGAUAUCUUCAAUUUUUUCAAUUUGCUAAAAGACUUCGAAGCAAGCUGGUGGUGCCAUAUUUUUCUCAACUUAUCCGCCUCACUAAUAUGUAAUACCUCCAGACUUGGGAGUCGUACCUGAAGUUAAAAAUUCAAUGCAAUUAGAGAUGUAUAUUAAUUAAAUUUGAAGACUCAACGAAAAGAGAAUUUAAAAAUUCAAUGAAAAAAAACCUUUUCAUCAAAGAGGGAUUGAGGUUGCAUUUCAGUGUGAAUGACGUCUUCUGGUGAGGCAAAGCUACUUAGUUUUGGAAGCCAAUGGAGCGACAGGUAGUGUAGUUUGGGAAAAACCUUAAAUUCAUCUCUUCCUCCUAACGUCGUGGUGUUGACUACCCCUUCAAUUGACCGGCAAUUACGAAUCUCAAGAUGUUGGAGUUGCCCAAGACUAUUAACCAUAGAAUAUGAAAACAAAUACUUCAGACGAUGACAACUCCACACGGUCACUUUUGUUAAAUUUUGACAACAAUAUAUUCCCUGAAAUUGAUCGGACCAUAAUUUUUUUAUAUUUGUUAAACUGACAAGUUCCAGUUCCUCCAAGCGUGGAAAAGUAACCUGCAAAGAAAAACCAUACAUUUUUGUUCCUUCAACUACAACUUCUAAUAUAAUAUUCUUUCGAUGAUUGAAGAUCAAUCGUGAUAAUAUAUUAAUUAAUUAAUUAUUAAACAGAAAAUUAUUACCUGGUGAACAGGAUCAUCCUCUGCAUUGAUUUCUAUGAAUCCCUGAGUUGUUGUUGGUUUCUCCAUGUCGGGCCCUAUAAAUGAACCAAAACAAUAUAUAAUAAACAUCCGUUGUUUUUUUCCCCAAAAAAAGAAAAAGAAAAAAAGAAAGAGUCAAUGUCAAUAAUCCUACCAAUAAUUAAUUUCAACACUUACCAAUAAUCAUUUUCAAAUCAUCGCAGUCUUCCACUUUUACUUUUUGAAGCCGCAAUAGGUUUUUGGCCAUAGAGAAUGAGAAGAGAUACUUCAAUUUUCGACAGGAAUCUACGUUUAUAAUCCUUAAGUUGCUGAAGGAUUGAUCUUCUCUGAGUUGGCUGUAGCAUAUCGUCUCCAAAUUAGUUAAAAACAUAAGAGACAAUGCCUCCAGCAAGGGAAAGACUUCGCAACGAACCCUAACUGAACCGACAAUAUGUAAAAUCUCAGAACAGUCUGUUACGAGAAGACGCUUCAAUCGUGGAAAACCUUCCCCAUCGUCUAAUUCAUGAACAACACUUUGAACACCCUCCAAUGUUUCUAGCCAGAGAUCUUCAGUUCUCUGCAGCAACAUUUUUGUCCCAUCAUUCUCCUGAAGAAUGCUAACUUUUUUUAUCCCCUUGAGCAUCAUCAAUCUUGAUGCUUCAGAUUUGACGAGCAAUGGGUCAAACUCAUCUUCGGGCCCAUCUCCUAUACGUAUCUUAUAUCUUUGCAAUUCCACAGAGACAAAAUCCGGCGGCAGAAUUUCGGCAUCCGGAACUUCUAUCUCCAAAGUAGUUAGCUCUGUCAACCUCUCCAAUUCGACAAGACUGGCAUUACUUCCUCCUUCAACCUUCUCCCACCCUGAAAAACCGUUACCCAUAUACAAUUCUUCUAAUUGAGAAAAAUUUUUGGAUAUGACAUUUCGGUGCUAUUCACCUUCAAGCCCACCAAACAAUUGCUCUCAAAUCUAGGAAAUUGGUAACCGCGGCCAAUNNNNNNNNNNNNNNNNNNNNNNNNNNNNNNNNNNNNNNNNNNNNNNNNNNNNNNNNNNNNNNNNNNNNNNNNNNNNNNNNNNNNNNNNNNNNNNNNNNNNGCGAGGCUGAGAAUCUCUAUUUCUUUAGUGUCCCAAUUGCGCUAUAUCUGCUAGUCGCACCAGUCUAAACACAAUGUUUGAAGGUUAAUGAGGCGACCAAGUGAUGAAGGUAAUGAAGAAGAGCCAAUUCCAGGAAACUGUAAAACUUUGAGUCCUUCCAUCCCUUCAAAAAAGUGGUCUGAAACUUGCAUAGGGCCAUUACCCUCCGUAUACAACAAAAAUAACUGGAGAUUGGGACAUUGCAACCUUUCAGGGAGCUCUUGAAUAUCUCUAUGAGGUAAUGAAAUAGCAAUUGGAUCUUUCUGUAUUGUCUCUUCCAUCUUUUUCUCCAAGUCAGCAACAUUUGGAACAUUAAACAUGCGCUCCUCUCUGGCAAUUGAUACGGCAACAACAUGAAUGACGUCAUGCAUUUUAACUUCAUCUUCAGCAUCACCGUCCAACAAUAAGCAUGAAGAUUUGAGGUUGUCGAUCAACCGAUGCACUCUACUCCUUGCUUCUUCCAAUGUGUAAACAUUUUCAAACAAACCCCAACCCACACCACAUCUCAAUAAGUCAGAAACUUGUAUGACAUUACCUUCACUGUAUAGACUACAAAGACGGAACAGAGAUUUUGCCUCCUCACUUUCCAAGAAGUCAUAACUCAAUUUUAUGGAGGUGUACACAUUUGCUUGCAUGCCAUGAAUUUCUCUAGCAUCCGAUCUUCUUAGCUGAUUCAAUGCAUCUUUCCAAAAGUAACUAUCCUUAGUUUUCAGAGCAUUUGCAACUGUACUCAGUGCAACAGGCAAACCUCCGCAUCUUUCAACGAUCUCAUUUGCUAUACUUUGAAAAGCGGAUAUUUUAGUUGAAUCACCCACUAUCUUUUCAAAUAACUGCAAUGCUUCUUUUGGUGGCAAAGCAUCGAUCGGGAAAUUUUUCUGAGAAUUCAUAUCAAUGCGCAAUAAAUCUCGACUUCUAGACGUCAAUAUUAUUGUGCAUCGUCUCUGAUCAUCCUUUGUAUCUUUCUCAUCAACAUCCCCACAAGGAAUUCCAACUUUUUCGAACUCGAGUUUUUUCCAAAUAUUAUCCAAUAUAACGAGGACCUGCUUCUCGUUCUUCAAUCUUUCACGUAAUCGAUCUGCUCUUUCGAAUUUAUUCUCAUCCGAGCCAAAUUUCAUGCCUAAGUCAAAAGCAAGUUUCUUUUGAAUUUCCUGAUGAUCUGGGGUCUGUGUUACCUCAGCCAUAACGACCUUGUCGAACACCUUAUCUUCCAUAACUUGCCUUGCAACUUGCUUGACUAGCGUGGUUUUACCCACGCCGCCCAUCCCGUAGACCCCAAUUAUCUUGAGCUUAUCAUCCUUCAACGCCUCCACAACAUCUUCAAAUACUUUCAUUCUUGAAUCAAAGGCCUCGAAAUCUUUCACUUGCAUAUGUUCUGCCCGCUUUGGAGCAGGACGGUAGGAAACAUUAGAGAAGUUACAUUUUCCCAUGAGACUAGCAGCAGCUUCUGCGGCCUUUGCUGCUUGUCUACUGAGCUUGUAACGAGAAAUCAAGUUUGGGCACAAUCCUUUGAAACAGAACUUCUUAGCUCUAUCUUCAUCAUCAGUGAUGGAUUUCGCAGCUCCCUGACUGAAUUCCUUGACGCUAUUAAGCCAGUCUGCAACAUCCUUAUAAAUCUCAUCUCCUUGUUGAGUAGCCUGAUGAACGGGUAUUUCCACCCUUUCUCUUUUAUAUCCCAACUGUUUCACUUGAUCUUUUAGGCCAUCUAUGUAGCUCUGGUACUUGAACACAUAAGAGAUCUGCCGUAUAAUCGGUUUGAACAGUGACUUUGCAUCUUCUGAUACGAUGCUGGAAAAAGCAGCCAGACCCACUUCUGCAACCAUUGCCUGUUGCUUAACAAUAUAUGUAUAUAUAUGAAUAAAAUGAAUAAAAAUGUCAAAGAAAGGAAUACAAAUAAAUUAAAAUGAACUAGAGGGAAAGACAGAGAAAGAAAAGACCGCAAACAACAUCGCGAUAUUGAUUUUGAACCAACUGAUACAUAAGUAGAGAAUUUCUUUUUCUAUCUUAAGGAUCAGAGGUUUUGCUAUUAACAGAAAGGUAUCCUUUAAGGAAAGUUGAUGGAAAUUAAGAAAGAAUGGCUAUCAAGAUCAAGUAUUCUGCUACUAAAAAUAAAUGAUAUGACUUAAGAAAAGUAAAUGAUAUGAUUAAGAAAAACCAGAGAAUUUUUUCCUAGGAAAGUUGAUGGAAAUUAAGAAAGAACCGCUAUGAAGAUCAAGUAUCAGAGAUUCUGCUACUAAAAGAAUAUUACAGGUUUUAGAACAAGUGCACCUCUUUACCUGUCUGGGAUCAGAGUCGAUGAGCUGCUGUAUUCACCUUGAAUAUAGAAGAAAUAUUACAGGUUUUGACUAAAGAGGAAUGUGAGGAACGAGUUGAUGAGAGUAAUAACAAUGAAUUUCCAAAAGAAGACGACUUGAGCAUUAAGCAUGCACCCCCUUUAUCAAUCAAAUAUUGGUACGUAUGUACGUAGGGACCAUUAUGCGUAUAUGAAGUCCAUUAGUUGCAAUCAGAAACCCUGGCCCAAUUUAAUUGACACUCGAUUUUUGAUAAGAAGAAGGCAAGGAUAAGGACAAAGUCAAUCAAUCACCAACAGUAAUUACUUCAAUCUUUGUCAAUCUACUUAAAUUGUCGAUCAACAUGAAAAUUGUUUAAAUUGAUAUUUGUAAAUCAAUCAAUUUUCUAGUUACUAUGAUUAUAACGUUUCACCUUUCAUAUUGGAUUUUAUCUUUUCGAAAGUUUUCAAAUAUGAGUGUCAAUAAUUAUUGAGACUCCAAGCCGUGCUCUCAAGAUCGUGCUGACAAAUCACUAUUGACUUUGUUUAUGCAAAAUUCAAAGAAAAAAAGUUAUGGUUUUGUAUUGCCAGCCCUGCUACUUUUUGUUUUUUUCAUUUGUAUUAUUUACGAAUUAUUUUUUAACAGAAACAUGAGAACUCAUCAUCGUAUAAAAUUGCAUGAAAAAAUCUUCAAAUUUAUAAAAGUAAAUUUCAUUGACAGAUUGUGGAUAUGUUAGAAAGAAUAAGGAUAAGAAUGAGUUAAGAAAUAAUAUAUAUAUAUAUAUAUAUAUAUAUAGAUAGAUAGAUAGAGAGAGAGAGAGAGAGAGAGAGAGAGAGAGUGAAAGUAAACAAUGUUUUGGUACAUUUGGUAUUGUUUUCAAAAUAUUUUGAAAAGAAAAAUUUUCAAUUAUCCAUCUAAGAAUUAUCUUAUUAUCCAAAAAGUUAUAAAAAUUUAAAAAUAUUUAAUUUUAUACCCAUUAUUACAAUGUGUAUCAACUGUUUACUAAAAAAAUAAAGUUACUCCUAAAACAUAAUCACCACUACAAUUUUGUGUUCGGUUCUAUUUUGUCACUUUGAACGAAUAACUUUAUAUUUUUAACAGAUGUUUCAUACAAAUUGCAUACAUUGGAUGUAAAAUUAAAUAAAUUUAAAUUUUUAUAAUAAUUUUAAUAAUUGAAUAAACUUUGAGUAAAUGACUGAUAAUUUCUCUUUUAUAAGCUACAAGAAGUUAAAAAGAAAAAAGAAAAAAUAGGAUGAUAAUUUCUCUUUUAUAUGCCUCAGAUGAUUUAUUGUUUCGGGUCUAAGAUUUUAAUUAUUCAACUUAAAAGAUUAAUAUAUUAUAAAUUAAUUAAUUAAAUAAUCAUUAAGCAACUAAAUUGGGUCCCCUGGAUGUCAAUUCCUUUAAUAUUGACGCAACUAUUUUUUUCUGGCAAAUAAUUAUUAAUGCACUGACGGAACUUUUGCAUAUCUACACAGCGAUUUUAAAUAUUACUGGUAACUGCUGAGAAAUGUGCGAGAAAGAAGUUGAUGAGAGUAAUAACAGCGACUUGCAAAAGGAAAAGACAGAAUCAUUCACCCCUUUUUGUAUCACCUAUUUGGUUACUGUUUCCCUGUUGACGCAUGUAUAAAUUUGACUGGUUUUUCUGCACUUUUUUGGCUGUUGCUUAACAAUGUGUGUGUGUAUUUGCUGUUGAAAAAAUUGGAUUCAAAUAAAUUAACUGAAAGAUUAGAGUUUUGACUAUUAACUGAAAGGUUUCAAGGGUAUGAAUGAAAAGCAACAUUCUUUUUUAGAAACUAUUUUAGAGGAGAGAUGCAAAUUAACAAAUGCUAAUAACAAGAACACAGAAGUUAACAAUGAACAGUAACUUAAAUCAAGAAAAUUAAAUGACAAAAUUAAGACAAACAAGAGAUAUUUUUUUCUUGGACAUUAAGAAAUAACUGCGGUCAAGAUCAAGGAGAUUAUGCUAUUAAUAGAAAUUAUCAAAGGAUUUAGAACAAGUUCACCUCUUUAAUUAUCCGGGAUCAGAUAGUUGAUGAGCUUCUCUAUUUAGCCUUGAAUAUUUAAGAAUAAUUUUAAAGAGCAAAAAGAUCACUGGUAACUGCUGAAAAAUAAGUGAGAAAAGAGUUGAUGAGAAUAAUAACAAUGAAUUGAAUAAAAAAAGGACUUAAUCAUGCACCCCCUUUGCAUAUCAUGUAUUUGGUUACUGUUGCCUUGUUGACGCAUGUAUAGAAUAAUUACAUGUAUUAUUAUAAUUUUGGAUUCGAUAUCCUUGUAUUAGUGUCUAAGAUUUUCAUGAAGAAUUAAACUUGGAAUGACCAAAAGAGGAAGCUGCAGUGUAUUGUUGGACCCAAUUAAGUUGAAGAAAGCACUAGUUCACAACCUUACGUUUGGAUAUAUUCUAAAGAAAUAAUUAAACAGCAAAUCAUCACAUGCACUUUAAUGAUUUGAUCUAUUGUUUUCAAAAGAAAUUGCAAUUAACAGUUUUUGUCAAAAGUUCGCACAGCGUGAAACUAGUGUUAGUAUAAUUUAAAAAAUUAAUUUCAGUAUUAUUUUUUAAAAUGUUAAUUAUUAGAUUUAUUUUAAUAAUAUAUUUAUAUUUAUUAUAAAAAAUUUAGUUAAAUAUUUGUGUUAAAUAGAAUUUAUAAUUAAUUUAAUAUAUCUUAGGUAUUAAUAAUAUUAUAAUUAUUCUAUAUGCUAUUGAAAAUAAUUUAAAUUUUUAGACAUUUAUUUUAUAUUAAGUUUCUAUUUAUUACAAAAUUUAGUUUAAUAUAGUAUAAGCUUGUAAAGUAUUAAAAUAUUUUUUUCAUUUUUUUUAAAAUAUUAAAAUUAUUUUAAAAUAUAUAUAUUAACAUUGAAGCUAAUUUUUUGAGUUAAUAGAGCUAGUAGGUGUUAUAGUAAAAAAGAGUAUCUUAGUAUCUCUUAUUGAAAAUAUAUAGAUCUAUAUAAUCAUUUUUUCAAAUAUUGAGAUGUAGAAAAAUAAAUUAAAAAAUUUUAAAUUUUAAUAUGGCCAUCGUAGGGUUAGAAUCCCCGCUCCAACCCGAUUUGGAGAUUUAUGUUUUUAAAAAAAAAAAGAACAAAGAAAAAAUACACACCCGACCAAAUCAAGCACCUCAUCAAAUCAAAAAUAAAAAAGGAAAGAAAUUAAUGGCUUGCAUGCAAUUUUGGAUCUGAAAUUAAAAUUACAUAAAAAUUAAGGCUUACGUACCUUAAUAUUUACAGCUUGUUUGAUGGCCCCAACAAGUUUAAGCAGCAUCAAAAUGUUGUGGCUCCUUAAAUGACAACAUCGACUUGUUUGACAGCUCCAACAAGGCUACGAUGAUCAGAAGAUGAGCCCUCAAUCAACAAGGCUAAGAUUGGCUUCUCUAUCCUCUGCCGACAUGUCCUCUUCUCCCAACAACCAGCGCCUUGCUCUUUGUCAUUUUUCCUCUUGUUAGUUUUCUUCUACAUAUAAUUAUUACACUGGGAAGUAUACACACACUUCUUUUCUUUUUAUAGUACCUUACUAUUAUAUCUUUACAAAACAAUAUCACCCUAAGACAUAUAUGUAUGAAAUAAAUAUAUAAGGAACGGACGAAAUAAAAUUAGAUCUAACACUAGUUUCAUGUGGUGUGUGAACUUUUGACAAUCCUCUCAUACCCCAACAAAAACUUUGUCAUAUUACAAAAGUUAUCACGACCAUAGACUUUUCAAUUGCAUAUUGGAAUUGCAAUGUCAUUUUAUUAUAGUAAUGUCAUUUCCAUUAUUCAUAGUGGCAGACAAUGGACAUCACGGGACACGGCUAGAAGUUAUCACGACCAUAGACUUUUCUAAUUUAUGAAAUAAAUGAAAUUAGAUCUAAUUCUAGUUUCAAGUGGUGUGAACUUUUGACAAUCCUCCCAUAUCCUAACAAAAGCUUUGUCAUAUUGCGAAAAUACCUUUUCAAUGUUUCAAUUGCAAUGUCAUUGCCAUUAUUCAUAGUGGCAGACAAUGGACAUCACGGGACAUGGCUAGAAGUCUAUGUUACGGCUUCUGUAAGUAACAGCAGCCAAUGGGGAACUUCCAUGGGGGCUAUAGGAGAGAGAAAGAGGUCCCAAUACAAGUGUUAGAGUACAAUUUAUACACUAGUUUUGCAUUGUUUACUUCCCUUAAUAUCGAUGUUUUGCAUUUAAUAAUAAUGAUUUACUUGUGUUUUACUUUUGUAAGUGCAAUUCUAUUGAUUUGUGAUAGAAUUGAGGUAUAAGAUGAUGUUUAAAGAUGAUUGUUCUCUUGGAGAAAUUUAGAGCGUCAGAAGAACUUUAUAGAUAAGGCGUGGGCGCGUGCUGUCAACUGCGGACCUGCAGUUUUUAGUUUAAUGUGUUUUGUAUUUUUGGCUAUUUUUGUAAUUACGAAUUUAAUAUUUCAAAUAUUAUUAUUUUAUUUUAAAUAGAACUUUAAAAGAGAAGAGAGAGAGAGUAUUUAAGGGAGGAAUCUAUUGUGAAAAAGGGGGGAUUUUAAUUGGAGAAAAAGAAAGAAACCCUAGAUCUAAUUUUUCUCUUCUCUCUAUGAAAAACUAAACUUAUUUUUUCUAGUUGAAGGUUAAUGAAUUUUUGAUUCAUCACUACUGUGAGAUCUUUCUUAUGCUUUAAUUGUUUUAUUACUUUUUGGGUAUUUGUUUAUUCUCUGAAUUAGUUUCAUGAUUAUGUUUGUUAAUUAGGUAAUUGGCCACUAUUUAAUUAUCAACUUAAUCUAUUGUCAAUUAAAGAAUUCAUCGUAUGACGAGUUUAAUGUUUGUGACAAAUAACAUAGCAGUGAGUUGUGUUAUGGGAAUAAACAAUCUAAUUUAAAUGAAUCAUCAUAUGUGUUGAUUAGGAUUUGGGUCGCUCUGGUUUUUCAGGCUGUCAAUUGAUUAAAUCCUAUGAUCGUAUCUAGGGUUGUCUAUUAAUUAGGGAAAUAUCCAAUGGUCGUACCUUGGUUAUCGACUAGUUAAGGAGAGAUUGGCUAUUAGAGGGUCUCAAUAGCUAUAACCAGUUUAUUCAUAAGUAAUAAUAAUCUAUUUUUGAAUCAAUGAUCAGUAGUCGAAUCAAACUGAGUUAAUUCCUUCAACCAAAGCUUUCUCCAAUUUGAAUUACAACUUUAAUUUGCAUUUUUGUUAUUUUAAUUUGAUUUUUUAUUAUUGUCAACAAUUCUCCCAUUUUACGUUUUACGUUUCAAAAGAAUUUAAAUAAUUACCGAUCUCUGUGGACACAACCCUGCUCAAUCACUAUACACAAUUUAUUUAGAGUAGGAAUUUAUUUUUAUUGGCUUCAACAACCAUCAACAAGGUGAUGGAAAUGGGAAAGUUCGAAGCUGUUACUUUCAGCUUCUGCACCGUAGCCAUGUCCCACGGGACAAGGCUAGAAGUUAUCAUGACCAUAGACUUUUCUAAUUUAUUUUUUCCUUUCAAAAAGGGACAAGGAUAAGUUUGGGAGAAUGAUUAUAUUUUUAAUAAAAGAAUUCUUUUUUAUUAUAAUACUUUUUGUCUUUAUUAAUUUAAAAAUAUUAACUCUUAUAUUUUAAUAAAUAUAAAUAUAAUAUUAUAAUAACAUAUAACAAUAUAUACAAAUAUUUAAAAAAAUUUAAGAUUUUAUUAAAAUAAAUUUUAUAAUAAAUAAAAAUACAUUAUUAAUAUAAUUUUAAUAAUUUGCAUUUUAAAAAGUAAUACUGAUAUUAUUUUUUAAAUAUUAAUUUUUUAAAUUAUAUUACUCUACCAAAAAAAAUUAAACUAUUAAAUUAUAUUGAUAUUUAUUACAAAAUUUGCAAUUAAUUCUUAUUAUAUUUUUAAUUGGAAUUUGUUCCUGUGAUAUAACAACAAUUGCUACAGUUUUUUCCCUAAAUAAAGAUGGAGUUAUAAAUUAUUUGUGUAAGUGUCAUGAAAGUAAUAGUUGAAUAACAAUAAUGGGGCUUUAGGCAAUUUUUUUUAUGAGGUCUUCUUGCAAUUUCAACACUUAAACAGACUUGUCCUUGAUCCCAAUUUAUUUACCCCAUUUGGGCCCACGAUGAGAUAAAUAUAUUCCUGUGAGAUGAAAAACAUCAGGAGAAGAAAAUGUUUUAUUAUAAUAAAAAAACAAGUGGUCCAUAAGUCUAUUUAUUACUUUUUUUAUUCAAUACAAAUGGCCAACUUAAAAAAUGAUAAAAAUCACAUAACGCACAAGCAAAAAUUUAGAUUUACAUUUUUUAGUUCUCUCCGUGUCUCUCUUUCUCUUUUUUAAAAAAAAUAAAUAAAUGUCAGUGUAAAAUUAGAAAAAUUUUAGAUAUAAACUUUGGCGAUGACCAAACAAAAAUUGCAAGGGAAAGAAAAUAGAGGACCCUUGAUAUCAUUAAAAUACUGAUCAUAGACACUACAAUAUAAAUAACUUGUUGUGAUCCACUCAACUUGUAACACUUUAAUCCAUAUUCUAAAAUUUGUAUGUUUGUUAGGAAUUUUAUUAUUGACAUUACUGUACCAAUAAAAUUCUAAUUUAUUCAUAUGGAAAGAAAACAUCAAGAAAGGACCUCUGAUUUUUAUUAUAACAGAAAAAAGUGGUCCAUAAGUCUAUUUAUUAUUUUAUUUAUUCAAUACAAAUUGCCAACUUAAAAAAUGGUAAAAAUCACAAAAUGCACAAGUAAAAUUUUAGAAUUACAUUUUUUUUAAUUCUCUUUGAGUCUCUCUCUCUCUCUCUUUAAAAAAUAAACCUCACUGUAAAAUUAGAAAAAAUUUAGACAUAAAAUUUGACAAUCACCAAACAGAAAAUGUAGGGAAAUGAAAAUGGAGGAGCCCUAUUAUCAUUAGAAUAUUGAUCAUAGAUACUAUAAUGUAAAUGAUUUGUUGUGGUUCAUUCAACCUGUCACACUCUAAGCCAUUUUCUAAAAUUUGUAAGGUUUAUAGGAUUUUUAUUAUUGGCAUCAUUGUAUCAAUAAUAUUAUAAAUUAUAUAUUCUAUUGUAAUGAAAAUUUGUGUAAUCUUAGGUAUUUAUUGUAUUAAAUUGUGUGGAUUAAUUAAGAAUAUUUUUGGAGACAAAAGAGGUGUGUGUACGUAGGAUUAAUAAUAAAAAAUUUCUAAAUAAAGGUGAUUGCUUCAUUGACAAGUACAUAUUUAUAUUCUCUAUUAGUAUUUGGGUUGUAAACUUUGUUUAUAAAGUGAAUAUAUUGUGGUAAGCGAUGUGGGCAAUAUCGGAUGCAAAAUAUUGAGAGAUCAUUAACGCAUAUAUUUAUUGCAUAUAGAGGAAAGAGUGUAGAUCCGGCCGUAACAAUUAUGAAGCUUUCCCCAAGUAUUCUCACGCUUCCUUAACUGUUCCAAAGUAUUUUUCAUAGUGUGCAGAUUUACUUUAUGGUGUCUUAAUUCGUCUAAAAUGAUUACUUUAGUUCUUUUGGGAUGAAAGGUCAUUUAUUGUGUUAGGAUUAAACAAUAGAAAAAAUAAGUAAUGGUAACGAAAGACUAAUUUGUGAUAUUGAAGCAUACAUGCUUAACUCAAUCCAAAACUUAGUAAGUUAGCUCAAGAGUUAAGAGUUGUCCAAAUCUUAUAUGCUGAACCCAAGUUCAAUACUCAAUUGAUGCAGGAUGUUAUUCCUAACACCGCCCGUCAUGCGUAGGAUUGGCAAAAAAACUCGAGUCAAUCCCGCCUAGACCUGCAAGCUUUAUUUAUGGCCAGCAUGAUGAAGUUACAGAUAUUAACCUAAAAAUUUGAAACUUACUAUGAAUGGCCUUGGUUAAAGACUUUUGUAACUUUAAUUUAUAACAAAUAUGUAUACACACACACACAUGUUUAGAUUGCAUUUGGGUGACUUUUUUUAUCAAUGCAAACAAUAUCAAAUUUAUCGGAUUAAUUUGAAUCUGAUCUAUAUCCGAUUUUGCCCGCCAUAAGCCCAAGUGACUCUCUUUUACUAAUUAAUAAGGGAAUUUUUUGACCUCAUGUCCUUGCUGUGGCAUUAGACUGUUGGUCAUUUUGAUUGUUUCCUACCUUCCAUUUACGCCAGCUGUAACAUUGUAUUAUUCACCAUUUUAGCCAUUUAAAUGAAAUUUUAUUUUUGUCAAAAAUAAAAUGACACCCUUAAAAUAAAAAAAAAUAGUUAUGUAGACCUCAAAUUUUUAAUAAAGAAUGUCAAUACCUCUUUUAACUACAAGAUUCGUAGUAGAUGAUAAAAAGAAAAUUAACUUCAAAUUUUUUCAUUAAAUGUAAAUCUGAUUGAAGUAGUUUAAAUUUUUCUAGUAGACUAAUAUAUAUAACUUAAAUAAUUAAUUUCAUUAUUAAUUGUUAAAAUGUUAACCAAUAUAUUUUUAAUUUAUUAUAAAAAUUUUAAAUAAAUCCUUGGAUUAAAUAGAUUUUACAAUUAAUGUAAUACUUCUGAUUUAUUAAUAAUAUUAAAAUUAUUUUAUAUGAUAUUCAAAAUAAUUUAAACUUAUAUAUAUAUUAAUAUUAUGUCUAUUUAUUAUAAUAUGGUUUAAUAUUAUACGGGAUUGUAAAAUAUUAAAAUAUUUUUCAAUAUCCAAUUAUUUUAAUAUGUAUAUAUCAUUACAUUUAUUUUAGUAUCAUAUUUAUAUUUAUUAUAAAAUAUAAAAUUAAUAAAAUUAAAGAGUAUUGCAGUAAAGUAAAAAAGAAAAGUCUUAUUAUCUCUUAUUCACGAUAUGAGAUUCUACAAAAUUAUUUCCCGAAACGGGUGUCCUUUUCUCAUUUUCAAAAGAAAAAAUAAAGUAAGAAUAAGUCCAUGGGUUUCAAAAACUUCUAGUCUUAUCCCGGGACUACAUUGUCUGCCACUAUAACUAAUGGAAAUGACAAUACAAUUGACAUUGCCUUUCGCAACAUGACAAAUUUUUGGUGGGAUAUGGAAGAAUUGUCAAAAGUUCACGCCAUGUGAGAGUUUUUGGUGGGAUGUGGGAGGAUUGUCAAAAGAUCACACCACAUGAUAUAACCACAAUUGCUAUGGUUUUUAUUUUUUAAAUAAUGAUGGGAGUUAUAAAUUAUUUAUAUAAAUUUGCGUAGAAACUAAUGUAACAUAAAAGAAGUAGCUGAAUAACAAUAUUUGGUGCUUUAGGUAAUUUUUAUAUGAGCCUUUCUUUUAUUUAGCGGCUCUAGUGCUUAAACAAACUUGUUCUCGAUCUUAUAACAGAAAAGGCAUCCCAUUUAAGCCUAUGAUGACAUAAUUAAACAUAUUCUUUUGUGACGAAAACAUCAAGAGAAGACAUCUCAUGUUUUAUUAUAACAGAAAAGAAGUGGUCCAAACGUCUAUUCGUUAUUUUAUUUAUUCAAUAUAAAUGGCCAACUUUAAAAAAAUGAUCAAAAUCACACAACACUCAAGUAAAAAUUUAGAAUUACAUUUUUUAAUACUCUCUAAGUCUCUCUCUCCUGCCCCCCCCCCCCCCACCCCGUCCCCUUUUUUGAAAAAAUAAACCUUAGUGUAAAAUUAGAAGAAUUUUAGAUAUAAAAUUAGAAGAAUUUUAGAUAUAAAAUUUGGCAAUCGCUAAACAGAAAAGCAGCGGAUUGAAAAUAAAAAAACUCUAUUACCAUUGGAAUAUUGAUUAUAGACAAUAUAAUAACUUGUUGUGGUUCAUUGUAGCACUCUGAGCCAUAUUCUAAAAUUUAUAGGUUUGUUAAGGCAUUUAUUAUUGACAUUAUUGUGUCAAUACUAUUAUAAUGAUAAUUUGUCUAGUCUUAGGUACUUAUUAUAUUAAAUUAUGUAAAUUAAUUGAGGAUACUUUUAGAGACAAAAGAAACACGUGUAUGUAGGAUUAAUAAUCGAAGAAUUGUAAAUGAAGGUGAUUGCUUCAUUGAGAGGCAUAUUAAAUAAUUAUGGAGAGUUGCACUAUUUCGGAAGCACAUAAUUAUACUUCCCUAUCAGGAUUUGGGGUAAACGAAGUGCUUUAUCUAUUGCAGUAAGCAAUGUGGACAAUAUCAGAGGCGAAAUAUUAAAAGAUCAUAACGCAUAUAUUGGAGCCAUUUAUCUUCCGCAACUGUUCUGAACUAUUCUUCAUUGUGGGCAGAUUUACUUAAAUACCUGCACAAUGAUUCAAUACUUCAAAGGUCAAGGAAAUGUCAAAAUAUGAAAUGAAAAUACUUAAAUACCCUUCUACCUAACAAAACUCGCAGAGAAUCUAUAAAAUUAAAAAAAAAAUAUUCAUCCAUGAAAAGCUUCGUAACAGAAAAACCGUCUUUCAAAAAAUAAAAACAGAAAAACUGACUCAUUUAUCUGCAAAUGAACCAAUCGGGACUCAUUUAAAAAAGAAUACAAAGCAAAAGUAAAUGACACAAAUUGCAUAGAUAUCUAGGAGCCGCAUCAAAAGACAAAGGUGUUAAUUUGUCCAAGAAUAAAUUCUCCUAGGUCAAAAGCAAUUAACGAUGAAAACUUUCUUCAUUAAGGUUCUGGCCUACGUAAAAAAACAGAAAAAAACCACCCCAAGGUCAAAGCACAACGAUAAAUUUAGAAAUGAAGUUUUUAAUUUUUUUUUAAUAAAUCAACGUGUAUCAAAAAUAGAUAAUAAUUUUGGAUAACUUUUUUUGAUAAAUAUAGACAUAAAAUUUUAAAAUCACCAAACAGAAAAACAGGAGAAUUAAAACAAAGUCCCUGUUUAUCCUCUAUUUUGCUUGUUAUUAAAAAGGGAAAUGAAAAGAUUGCAAGCGGAAAUUUUGUUUCUGCGUUGUCUCUUCUCAAUGCUGCAUGCAUUCAAAUUAAACCUUACAUAUGCUAGCAAACUAGCUACGCUGCAUGUAAGUUCUCGAUAAGUCCAAAUAAUAGAAUAAUUGUAAAAUGUUCAAAUUCAGUAAUUAAUUUUAUUUAUUUAUUUAUUCAAAAAUUAUUAUUAUUAUUAAUUAUUGUCAAUAAUAUAUUAAUAUACUAAUUAAUUGUAAAAAAAUUUAUCAUUCAUAACAAUAAUAAUGAUGAUGAUGACGAUAAUAAUAAAAAUUCAAAAUAUAUUAAUUAAUUAUAAUAAUAUAUUAAUUAUUUAAUAAUAAUAUAUUUAAAAUAUAUAUAAAUUGAUUAGAAUAGUUAUAUUAAUAAAUUAUAAACAUAUAUUAAUUAAUCAUAAUAAUUUUUUAAUUGAGGACAAAAUAGAUAUUUUAUAGUUUGUGAGAGGGGGCAAAAUGAUCAAUCUUGGGAAUGGGGGAUUGAUUCCCACCACCUUCCUUAGGAAUCAAUCUUCCAUUCCUCACUCCUAAUUUGGGUGGUCCCCAUAGUUCUGAUUCGGAUCCCAGCCUCCAUUUUAUGAAGUAAACAUCAUUAAUGAUUUCGAUUUCGGAUUUCGAUUCUCCAGUCCAAGAAGUAAAGGCACCAUUAUUGUUAAUUGGUUCAAACACACAAAGAGAAUGUACCAUGUAGCUAGGCGUCAAGGUUGUGUGGCACAAGUAACCUUUUUCUUUUCUUUUUAUUUUUCUUGUUUUCCUUAACGGAUCAGAAGAAAUCGGUGCCUUUGAGAUACUACAAUGUAAAUAAGUAUUUGUGGUUCAUUGAAUCUGUAACACUCGGUACCCUAAGGUUGCUUUUGAAAAAGGGCUUUUCUCACUGAUCACCAAUAUCCAAGUAAGUUUGUUUCAUUUCAGAAGGUGCAAAGUUUCAAACUUUUUGUAUUGGGAUGUAACAAACUUUGGCCUUAUAUGCUUGCUGUGACGUUAGACUGUUCAUUUUGAUUGUUUCCUACCUUCCACUUGCGCCACUGUAGCACUGUAUUAUUCAUCAUUUUAGUUGUUUAAAUGAAAUUUUAUUUUUGUCAAAAAUAAAAUGACACCAUUAAAAUUUAGAAAAAUAAUCAUGUAGAUCCCAAAUUUUUAAUAAAGAAUACCAAUAUUCCCCUUGACUACAAUACCCUUAGCAGGUGGUAAUCAAACAAAUUGACUUAAAAUUUUUUACGAAAUGUAAAUAUGAUUUAAAUAAUUUAAAUUUUCCAGAAGACUAAUAUAUAUAAUUUAAAUAAUUAAUUUCAAUAUUAAUUUUUAAAAUGUAAAUUAAUUUAUUUGUACUUAUAAAAUAUUUGUAAUUAUUUUAAAAUUUUAACUAAAUCCUUAGGUUAAAUAGAUUUUACAAUUAAUAUAAUAUUUCUCAGGUAUUAAUAAUAUUAAAACUAUUUUAUAUGACAUUGAAAAUAACCUAAAUUUUUUAUAUAUUUAUUUGAAUAUUAUGUCUCUAUUUAUUAUAAUUUGGUUUAAUAGAAUACGAGAUUGUAAAAUAUUAAUAUUUUAGAUAUUGAAAUUAUUUUAAUAUCUAUAUAUUAUUAUAUUUAUUUUAAUAUCCUAUUUAUAUUUAUCAUAAAUUAUUAGAGUUAAUUUUUUUAGUUAAUAAAUUUAAAAAUAUUAUAAUUUAAAAAAAGUCUUAUUGGCCGUUAUUCACGAUAUAAGGUUCUAAUAAAUUAUUUCUCUAGACAGGUGCCAUUUUCUUAUUUUCAAAAGGAAAAACAAGUUCAGGGCCUCGGGGGUUUCAAAAAAUUCUGGUCCUAUCUAUCACUAUGACUAAUGGGAAACGGCAUUGCAAUUGACAUUGCUUUUCGCAAUAUGACAUAUUAUGGAGGGAUAUGGGAGAAUUGUCAAACAUUCACACCACGCGAGAGCUUUAGGUGGGAUAGGGGAGGAUUGUCAAGAGUUCACACCACAAGAAACUAAUGAUAGGUCUAAUUUCGUUGUCAGUUCUUUAUUUAUUUAUUUUUUUUAUUUCAUACAUUAUUGUUCUUGUAAAGGUAUAAAAGUAAAGUAAAAUACUAGGGGUGCUGUUAAGUUACAACUGAUGUAACUUGUAAUUUUUUCAAAAAUAAUGUAAAAAAUUUAAUAGGUGGUGGGACUCACAUAUUUUUUAAGAGACUUAAGUUAUAGUAGUUGUAACUUAACAAAAUCUAAAUAUUAUACAAUAAUGCAUAUUAAUAAUGCAUAUAAUUUGGGUUUGAUUUUUAAAAGAUUAUUUGAGUACCACCUAUCCUUAUGAUAUUAAUGUGAUUAUAUCUUAAUAUUAAAUAAUCAAAAUUUGUUUAAUUAUUAUUUGUAUUUCAUACAUUACAUAUUAGAUUUGUUUGAAUUUUAAGUUGUUGCUAAUAAAUAUUUAUGUUGUCAAAGUCAAAUUCAAUAGCUACAAAAGCAGAGAUAAUGGUAUUGUAUAUAGUUUUUAAGAAUGCAAGGAUAAGCUGGAUAAUUGACAUAAAUUCUAAUGAUUAAAAGAGCAACUAUCCCUUAAAUUAUAAUGUUAAUUUCUUUAAUUAGAUUUUUUUUUUCAUGUGAUAUAACCACAAUUGCUACAAUUUUUUUUUAUAAUAAUAAUGGGAGUUAUAAAUUAUUUAUAUAAAAUUUGGGUUGAAACUAAUGUACCAUAAAAGUGGUUGCUGAAUAACAAUAUUUGAAACUUUAGGUAAUUUUCAUGAGUCCUUUUUAUAUUCAGCAACCUGAAUUGGGGAAAAUCCGACUUGAAUUGGCGGUUGAUUUUGGUGAUGUGGCUUUUGGUUUAUGGCGGCUUUACUGUGGCGGAAGACUGGAUUUACGGUUGCCGACUGCUAGGGAUUAUGGUGGUGGUGUAAAUUGACGGAAAAAGAAGGUGUUUUGGUGGCGGCGCGUGUAGGAAGCACUCGUGGGUUGUCGUUUCGUGUGGUGACAGAGGGCGGCGAUCAAGGGCCGAAGUCGGUCAGUUUUUGGUCAACGAAGGCCGGCGAGUUUGUUGGUGGAGGUGGCUGGUGGAGAAAGUGGCUGAAUGGUGGUGGGUUGCUUGGUGGAGCCGCAGGUUUGGGUUGGUGAUUUGCGGCUGUUCAAGCGGCGGUUGAGGCAGCGAUGACUGAGGCUUGGUCGACGGUGGCUAGUGAGGUUUGUGGUGGUGUUGGCUGGCUGAUUGGCGGUGGUGGGCGGCGGUGGGGGUUGGUCUGACGGGUAGGGUUUUCAAAUUUGUAAUUUUUUUUUUUGAUGGAUUUGGUUUGGAUGGGUAUGGUGUAUCUAGGAAAGAUGUGUGAUUCGCACAGAAUUGCUUUGAUACCAAUUGAUGGAGCGAGCGUAGCGGAAGUGGAAUUGAUAAGGUAAGAAAUACUAAAUAUCAUUCUAGUACUGGAUCAAGCCAACACAAUUAACUUACGCUUUAAUCAAAGCGUGAUUAGAUAUUGUUUUAAUCUAAAUGAUUCAAUGAGAUUUUUAAUAACGCGUAAUACGAGAUUAGAUGACACUCUAAUUUAAAUAACUCUAUAAGAGAGAUUUUGAUAAAUAAUACUAGAGGAAAUUAUAAAAAAAAGAGUUUUAUUUAAUAAUUGAAUUUGAAGUCCUGAAAACAAUGACAAGACAUCUUUAUUUUUUUUAUUACAGACAUCUUUAUUUAUAAUAAAAGAAAUCCACUUUCCUAAGUUAACCUAAAAAGAAAAUUUAAAUUAUAAUUAUAAUGGAAAUAAAAGAUUAAGAUACAUACCAUAAUUGACUCAAACAAAAAUAGAAAACCAUAAAAUAAUAAAUAUUUUAGAAUUAUAAAUUAUCUAAAAUAACGUUAAUUAACUUCCUAAAUCACGUCUUUGGUGUAAACCAUUUUGCAUCCAACCUUGCUUUAAAGGUUUGAACCAACGUUACGAACAACAAUGUAUCAAAUUCCAAUCUAACUUAAGAUCCUGAUACAUCUACCGAUGUCCUUGUUUGAUUAGACAAUAAUGAGUCUAUCUCAUCACUUGUUACCUCUUUUUUGAAGCUGCAUCUGUUGAAGUGAUAGCCUCGCUUAGAGUUUAAAGAUCUUCUUCCAUGUUAAAUAAAGUGGGCAUUUGAUUAAAAAACUUUAUCUCUAUCUCCUUCUAUCAAAUAACGAAAACUAUCCAAAGGAAAAAAAAAAAAUUAGAAAAGUCCAUGGGUUGCAAUAAUUUAUGGUCUGUCCUCGGACCCCAUUAUCUGCCAAUAUCAAUGAUGAAAAUGAAAAUAAAUGGCAUCUUCCCAAAAUGGCGAAAGAUUUUUAGGAGAUAUGGGGAAUUGUCAAAAGUUCCCACAACGCGAAAUAAGUGUUACAUCCAAUUUUAUUUCAUCAUAUAAUGAUAAUAUCAAGUAAUGACAGCCAUCUAAAAGUAUAAUGGGUCUUCCAAAAUUUUGAAAAUGUCGUCAACAUUUAAUCUUCAAUGCUAAAGAAGAUGAAAUGCCCAAAAAUGACAUGCAGGACCCACUCACAGACUAAACGGCCCUGACCACAUGCAACAAACUUUGACUUUAUGUCCCUGCUGAGGCGUUAGACUGUUGGUCAUUUUGAUUGCUUUUUACAUUCCAUUUACGCCAUUGUAGCAUUGUACUAUUUACCAUUUUAGCUGUUUAAAUGAAUUUUUUUUUCCAAAAAUAAAAUGACACCCUUAAAAUUUUAGAAAAUAAUCAUGUAGACCCCAAAAUUUUAAUAAAGAACACCAAUACCCUUUUUGACUAUAGUACUCUUAUGGUAGCCACAAAAAAAAAAUGACUUCAAAAUUUUUUACUAAAUGUAUAUAUGAUUUAAAUAGUUUAAAUUUUCUAGUAGACUAGUAUGUAUAAUUUAAAUAAUUAAUUUUUAAAAUGUAAUUUAAUAUAUUUAUUUUAAUAAUAUAUUUAUUAUAAAAAUUUUAAACAAAUCCUUGGGUUAAAUGGAUUUUAUAAUUAAUAUAAUAUUUCUCAUGUUUUAAUAAUAUUAAAAUUAUUUUAUAUGAUAUUGAAAAUAAUUAAAAAUUUUAUAUAUUUAUUUGAAUAUUAUGUCUCUAUUUAUUAUAAUUUGGUUUAAUAGAAUACGAGAUUGUAAAAUAUUAAAAUAUUUUUAGGUAUUGAAAUUAUUUUAAUAUGUACAUAUUAUUAUAUUUAUUUUAAUAUCCUACUUAUAUUUAUUAUAAAAUAUUAAAAUUAAUUUUUUUAGUUAAUAAAUUUAAAAAAUAUUAUAAUUAAAAAAAAGAGUCUUAUUGUCUGUUAUUCACGAUAUAAGGUUCUACAAAAUUAUUUUCAAAAGGAAAAAUAAGUCUAGGGGUUUCAAUAAAUUCUAGUCCUAUUUGCCACUAUGACUAAUGAAAACGACAUUGCAAUUGACAUUACUUUUCGCAAUAUGACAAAUUUUUGGAGGGAUAUGGGAGAAUCGUCAAAUGUUCACACUACGCGGGAGUUUUGGAUGGGAUUGGGGAGGAUUGUCAAGAGUUCACACCACAAGAAACCAAUGAUAGCCAUAAUUUUGCUAUCAGAUCUUUGUUUAUUUAUUUUAUUUAUUUCAUACAUUGUUGUCUUGUUGGCAUUGUUUUGCAAAGAUAUAAAAGUAAAAUAAACUAUUAGGGUGCUGCUAAGUUAAGCUGUUGUAACUUACAAUCCCUUAAAAAAUAAUGUAAAAAAUUUAACACGUGGUGGGAUCGACAUAUGUUUGAAGAGGCUUUAAGUUACAGUAGUUGUGACAUAGCAAAAUCCAAUUAUUAGACAAUAACGCACAUUAACAAUGCAUAUAAUUUGGGUUUGAUUUUUUGAAAAAUUAUUUGAGUAUUAACUAUCCUUAAGAUAUUAAUGUGAAUAUAAUUUAAUAUUAAAUAAUCAAAAUCUGUAUAAUUAUAAUAUAUAGUUCAUACAUUGCAUGUUUAAUCAAAAUCUGAUUGCUUUUUACCUUCCAUUUACGCCCACUGUAGCAUUGUACUAUUCACCAUUUUAGCUGUUUAAAUGAAAUUUUUUUUUUUUCAAAAAUAAAAUGACACCCUUAAAAUUUUAGAAAAUAGUCAUGUAGACCCCAAAAUUUUAAUAAAGAACACCAAUACCCUUUUUGACUAUAGUACUCUUAUGGUAUUCACAAAAAAAAAAAAUGACUUCAAAAUUUUUUACUAAAUGUAAAUAUGAUUUAAAUAGUUUAAAUUUUCUAGUAGACUAGUAUGUAUAAUUUAAAUACUUAAUUUUUAAAAUGUAAUUUAAUAUAUUUAUUUUAAUAAUAUAUUUAUUAUAAAAAUUUUAAACAAAUCCUUGGGUUAAAUAGUUUUUAUAAUUAAUAUAAUAUUUCUCAUGUUUUAAUAAUAUUAAAGUUAUUUUAUAUGAUAUUGAAAAUAAUUUAAAAUUUUAUAUAUUUAUUUUAAUAUUAUGUCUCUAUUUAUUAUAAUUUGGUUUAAUAGAAUACGAGAUUGUAAACUAUUAAAUAUUUUUUGGUAUUGAAAUUAUUUUAAUAUGUAUAUAUUAUUAUAUUUAUUUUAAUAUCCUACUUAUAUUUAUUAUAAAAUAUUAAAAUUAAUUUUUUUAGUUAAUAAUUUUAAAAAAAUAUUAUAGUUAAAAAAAAGAGUCUCAUUGUCCGUUAUUCACGAUAUGAGAUUCUACAAAAUUAUUUUCAAAAGGAAAAAUAAGUCCAAGGGUUUCAACAAAUUCUAGUCCUAUCUGCCACUAUGACUAAUGGAGACGAUAUUGAAUUGACAUUGUUUUUCGCAAUAUGACAAAUUUUUGGAGGGAUAUGGGAGAAUCGUCAAGCGUUCACACCAUGCGAGAGCUUUAGGUGGGAUAUGGGAGAAUUGUCAAGAGUUCACACCAAGAGAAAUUAAUGAUAGGCCUAAUUUCGUUGUCAGUUCUUUAUUUAUUUAUUUUAUUUAUUUCAUACAUUAUUGUCUUGUUGGUAUUGUUUUGUAAAGAUAUAAAAGUACAAGUAAAAUAUUAGGGGAAGUAAAGUAAAAUAUUGGAGGUGCUGCUAAUUUACAGCUGCUGUAACUUACAGUUCCUUCAAAAAUAAUGUAAAAAAUUUAACACGUGGUGGGACCCACAUUAUGUUUGAAGAGGCCGUACAUUAUAGCAGUUGUAAAUUAGUAAAAUCCAAAUAUUAGACAAUAAUACACAUUAACAAUGCAUAUAAUUUGGGUUUGAUUUUUUAAAAAAUUAUGUGAGUAUUACCUAUCCUUAAGAUAUUAAUGAGAAUAUAUUUUAAUAAUAAAUAAUCAAAAUCUGUUUAAUCAUAAUAUGUAAUUGAUACAUUGCAUGUUAGAUUUGUUUGGAUUUUAAGUUGUUGCUAAUAAAUAUUUAUGUUGUGAAAGUCGAAUUCAAUAGCUACAAAAGCAGAGAUAACGGUAUUUUAUGUAGUUUUUAAGAAUACAAGGAUAAGACCAUAACGCAUGAGAUAAUGGUAUUUUAUAUAUAUUAAAAGACCAUAACACAUGUAUUUGAGCCAUUGAUAUUGAAGACACAUAUAGAGGAAAGAGUGCAGAUCCGGCCCUCAGUAUUGUGAAGCUUUCCUCAAGUAUUCUCAUGCACACAGACCUUAUCUGGUCAAGUUUUCUGAUUCAAUAUAAUCAAUUUCCGCGCAGUACUGACGACAGCUUCUCUGUAAAGCUCUUCAACCACAAGCAUUUCUACAAGGCAAAAGACUAGGACGUGUCAGAAUGAAUAUCAAUAAGGGAAUGUCUUAUGAAUUUAGUUUAUAUCCUAAUAUAAGACAAUCAGUAAAUAUUGGACUCAUUAGUUGCCCUUGCCUCAGACGUUUGGAUGCUAAGGGGAAAAAGGAAGUUUGAAUUAGUCAAUCUCAUUUCUAAUGGCAUUCACAGAGAACUUAUAAAACAAAAAAAUUAUAAAAAAAAAUUCAUCCAUAAAAAGCUUAGUAACGGAAAAACCGACUCUUUUAUCUGCCACUGACGAAAAAAAAACUGAAGUAUCAAAUAGAUAAAGAUUUUAAUUUUUUUCUUGGAAAAACUAAUAAUAAAUUAACAAUUGGAUAAUACUAUUAAUUAGAGAUCUUUAAUAUUAAGGUUAUCAAAGAUAGAAUGUGUAUAAAAAUUCUUAAUUAUAAGAUAAUUACUAACUAAAAAGAGGCCUAAAAAAGAAGAUUUGCUAUUAUAAGUAAUACCAAAAAUAAAAAAGGGAGACUUCCUAAUUGUUUAAUUGUUAAAAAAGAGGAUUUGCUAUUAUAGGCCUAAUUUGCCUAUAAGUAAUACCAAAAAUAAAACCGUUCCUGGAUGUAAAAAAUAAAAAUUAUUGUUAAAUUCCUGACUAAUAAGGUCAUUGAAAGUAUUCAAAGGACCUGAACUUAUAGGAAAGCCAGCCAUGAUGAACUAUACCACGUUGCAAGUGAGCUCGUAUCUUCAUCCCUUGAUCUGCCAUCGGCAUUUCUGUUCCACUCACUAUACCAUCCUUUUCAAUCGAUUUUUAUUGAUCAUAAGAGGCCAUGUGGCCCACCUUAUUUUUAUUUUGGAUCCAUAACCCAAAGCUGGCCCAAGUUCUGAUUCCAGAAUCAUUUGUCUACAAAGUGACCUCAUUCCGGCAAUUGGUUUAUGCUAAUAGCACGUGCAAUUUUCAUUUUCUUCUUUUUAUUAAUUAAUUUCAUCAUUAUUAUUUGCUUAUUAUUUUAAAUUAAUUAAUUAAAUUGUAUUAUUGAAAUUAGUCUUUCUUUUUUCUUUUCUCUUUCAAUGCACAAAGCCAAACAACCAUUCUUGCUUCAAAUACCGAAGAGCUCCUGACUACGGCUGUCAAUGCUUCUAUAUUUACGUGCUGUGCUGCAUCACUCUUAGCGAAAGCUUGAAUGAAUGAUUAAAGACAAAAGCUUAUAUAAAAGCAGAUGCCGGAGGCACUCAAAAAGCAUUUGAGAGAGAAGCUACACAGCAAAUCAUCAAACGUACUUCAAUGACUUUGAUUUUGAUUCUUUUUUUUUUCAAAAGAAGUAGAAAAGUCCAUGGAUCACGAUAACUGCUUGUCCUAUGCCGUGACCUCAUUGUCCGCUGCUAGUGUCAAAUAGAUUAAUCUUUCUAGUAGAUUAAUAUAAUUUAUAAUUUUAAUUUCAGUAUUAAUUUUUAAAAUGUUAGUUGUUAUAUUUAUUUUAAUAAUAUAUCUAUUUUUAGUAUAAAACUUUAAAUAUAUAUUUAGAUUAAAUAGAUUUAUAAUUAAUAUAAUAUAUCUCAUGUAUUAAUGAUAUUUAAAUUAUUUUAAAUAAUAUUAAGCCUAACUUAAAAUUUUAUAUAUUUAUUUUAAUAUUAUGUUUCUAUUUAUUAUAAAAUUUAGUUUAAUAUAAUAUAAGAUUGUAAAGUAUUCAAAUAUUUUUUAAAUAUUGAAAUUAUUAUAAAAUGUAUAUAUUGUUACAUUUUUAAUAUUGAAGUCAAUCUUUUUUAAGUUAAUAGAGUGAAAAGAUAUUAUAAUAAAAGGCUACGUAAUCUUUCACUUGCACAUAUUCUGUACUCUCUGGAGCAGGACGGUAGGAAAUAUGAUUACAAAUGUUAAAUUCGCCUUUCUUCACAAGUUUAUCAGCUUCGUUUGCGGCCUCUGCUGCUUGUUUACCAAGCUUGUAACAAGAAAUCAAAUUUGGGCACAACCUUUUGAAGCAGAACAUCUUAGCUCUAUCUUUAUCAUCAAUGAUUGAUUUUGCAACCCCUUCACUGAAUUCAGCAACUCUAUUUAGCCAGUCUCUGACACCCUUAUAAAUCUCAUCUCCUUGUAGAGUAGCCUCUCUAACCAGCAUUUGCACCCUUUCUCUUAUAUAUUCCAGCUCCUUCACUCAAUCUUUUAGCCCAUCUAUGUAGCUCUGGUACUCGGAACACAUAAGAUAUGUGCCACAUAAUCGGUUUGAAUAAUGCUUUUGAACCUUGUGAUACAAUGCUAGAAAAAGUAGGGAGACACCCUUCUGCAGCCAUUGCCUGUUGCUUAACAAUCUAUAUAAAUAAAUACAAGUGUCAAAGAAAGGAAUACAGAUAAAUUAAAAUGAACUAGUGGGAAAGACAGAGAAUGAAAAGACUGCAAACAAUAUUGCGAUAUUGAUCUUGAACUAACUAAUAAUUAAAUAGAGAAUUUCUUUUUCUUUCUUGAGGAUCAGAGAUUUUGCUAUUAACAAAAAGGUACUUCGAGGGUCUGAAUAAAAAACCAACCAUAAAUUAUCAAAAGCUAGUAAAAACACAGACGUAAAUAAUGAACAAUUACUUAAGCAAAACAGACCAUGAUACAAAGCAAAUCUAAUAAAAUGACAAAAAAAGAAAGAAAGAAAGAAAGAAAGAAAAUACAACAAAUAAUAUUGAAGUGUUGAUUAUGAGCCAACUGAUAUUUAAACAGAUUUUUUUAAAAUUUUUAGUCUUUUGCUAAAGGAUUAGAGUUUUUGUUAUUAAUAGAAAGGUUUUAAAGACCUGACAUUACUAGAAAAAUACUAAAUAAUGACAGAAAUUUUAUAACAUAUAUCGUUAUGUCACGAAUGUGUCAUGAAAAUAUGAUAGAUUCGUGAUAUAUAUUCAUGUCCAGAGUAUAUGACAUAUUCAUGACUUAUAACUUAACCAUCGUAAAUAAAUGAUACAUAUAAGUCAUGCUUAAGUUUUGUGAACUUAUAAGAUUGUAAAACAAUGCCGUUUAAAUUAACGACACCGUUUUGUAUAACUUAAAACCCAUUAACACUCGCAGCCAAAUUUUGGCUAAGCGUUGAAUUAAUCCCUCUCUCCACUGUAGAGAUGGCAGAAAAGCCCGCUCAGACCGGAUCCGGACUGGACCCGGUGCAUACGGUCCGGGUAAAACCCGGAUCGGAUGCAUGGAAAAAGCGGAUCCGGGCACGGGUCCGGUCACAGCACCAAGAAUCUGGAACCCGGACCCGUGCCCACUUUUUUAUUAAGUAAAAAAAAAAUAUAUAUAUAUAUAUAUAUAUAGUAGUUUUCCAAUCAGGGAUUAGUUAAAAGACAAAAUAAACACAUACUCCAAUGCAUUGUAUUUUAUCAUGUAGUGUAGUAAAAUUUAAAUUUUUUUGUCUUUUAGCUAAUCCAACUACUAUAUAUAUAUAUAUAACAACAAAAAUGCAUUUUGCUUUACCCAAUUUCCCCCAAACCCAACCGGCCAACCCUAAAUCGCAACAAGUCUCAGAAUCGCCACCUCCCUCCGUUUCUCCACCAACAACCACCACCCAUCUUCACCGAUGCAGUGUUGACGGCGCGGCCUCUUCCCCACUUACAGAAAAAUGCGCAUGCUUUUACCGAGAAAAGAAAGCUUUUAUUUUUUGUAUGACAUCUGGUCCUCCCAUCAAGCUUACCUGAGGCAGCGAGGCUGAAAGUCUCUGUUAUCAACCAUCAGGACACCAGAAAGAGUAAUUGCUCACAUCGUAAGCGCCAUGAACUAAUUUUUCCGAAAAGGAGGAAAUGAAGGUCACAAUGGAGCUCAUUUCCCGCGAUUCGAGAGCCCUACAGAGAGGUAGGACCCCUAACUCACUCCGUUUUAGUCACCUUUCAAUGGCUCCCUUAAUUUCCUAAAUCAAUAAGUGUUCUAAAAGGGCUUGAAAAAUCAAAAUGAUGCCCAACAUUAGUGCCAGGAUUAAGGAACUUUUCACUGCAAAGAAGUGAAUAGCUACGUGGAUGAAGUUAUGGGCCAUGCAGAAAUUCACACUUCACUCUCUCUUGAUUUGUACUCAAAAGUCGCCACCAACCUUCAAUUAUAUGGACUCAUGGAUUCAAUAUUUAGGCUUACAAUUGGACCUUCACAAAGCAAUUGGAGCACUCCAAGCUGCAAAAAAUGUCUCUUCUCUGUGACAUCUGCAGGUGGGCUAGAAGAAGGUUAUGCAUAGAUGGUCUAUGUGCGUGUGCUUACUAAAUGCAUACAAAAUGUAUAAGAACUGAGAUUCCUAUGUUUUUUCCUUUUUAAUUUUAAUAAUUAUGUUAGAUGUUUGCUUGGUAGUUAAGAUGUUUUGGUUUUGGACUGUUACGCUUUGUUAGAACUUAAAAGUAAACAAUUGUUUAGGCUGUAUUUUUUUUUACAGUGUUUUCACCUUUGAAAAUCCGGGUAGAGAAAACCCGGAAAAACCCGUGCCCGGAUAGUGCCGGGCAUGUACCCGGCCUGUAUAAAAAAAAUUCCGGACACGGUGCGGGUUCGGGUAGUUACGUGUGACAUCCGGGUCGGUCCCGGGCAGCCUCAAACCCAGACCCGACCCGGACUUUUGCCAUCUCUACUCCACUGGCCACUGCAACCUAAAAUAGUUUUUCACUUUAAUAACCCAAAAGCUUUCCUCUGUUUCAACUAAGCGAAAAUUUACAUAUUAAAGCCUGGCUCAAAUUCCUUUUUUCAAUCGAAAUUAAACGUAGCCACAAAACCCUAAUUCACCACACCAAUUUAUCUCUGCCCGGUAUUCAUUUAAACCCUACCUCGCGGUUCAAUGUCAUUCAAUACGAUUGCAGAUGCUGUUUCAACUUGUCAUUUAGUUAGCGCCAUCCAGUUCUCUAUGGUAAGCCUUAACCCUAACAACUAAUCGACUGCGGUAGCACGUUGCUUGUUAGGAGUGGGGAUACAUUAUUUGAAUAUAUGAAUUGGGUGAUGUUAGUGAUUCAUUCCCCUAUUUGUCGUGAAUUGAGAUUUGUGCAUAAUGCUAGUAAGAUUGCUAAAAAUUUCAUAUUUUGUAUUGUUCCAGUUGAAUUUCUUGCUUGUGGAAGAUAAAACAAAAGUUCAAUUUCAUGUUGAUUUAAUUCUUCUUUUCCUUCUUUUUAUUUUUCUUCUUUAUAGUCACGCUCUGGCUUUGGUGCUAUGCUUAGUGCAGUUUAUGGUUUCAAGAUUAAGUCAUGUUUAUUUGAUGGCAUCGAUUCCAUCGUUGAGGAUUGGAUUGUUGAUCAAAUGCACAUAGUAAGCUCUUCUUAUUUUAUCUCAAUUUUAAUUUUCUUUUAUUAUCUGCCUCUACCUGAAAAUGGACGUGUUUUACUAGUAAGCAUAGACCUUGUUUAUUUAAUUGAUAUUUUAAUUUUAUGUAUAAGAAUGGAGGUUUAUUUUGGAAAAAAAAAGAAAUAAAAAAAAUACUCUGUUGAAGCUAAUUAGUACUGAAUUUUUUUUGGUGGUGCGACCAGAGGUGGAAACAGGGUAUGAAAAUGUGUUACUGGUGAGGCUGCUGCUUAAGAUGAGAAUGCAUUCUUUUCAAAAAUCCUUGGAAGGUGUGAUCUAAUUAUAUUUGAUGGAAUAUUAAAUGGCUAAAAAUCUGUCAUACGUUCAAACUUUGUUUGUGUUUAGAAGAAUGGUGUUGACUGUAUAUUCGUUUGGAAGAAUGGUGUUGAUUGUAUAUUCAUUUGCUUAGCCUUUUGACAGAUGGAUUUGGAACUGACGAUAAAUGUGAUUCAAUUUACAAGGUUUUCGAGGGGCUCACAGUGGAAGGGAUAUUGAAGAACUGGUCGAAGUUAAAGCCUAUGAUUGUGAAAGAUUGGAGUGAGAAUAUAGAUGCUCAUUUAAAUCUUUUUGGCAAGGUCAGAGAUGAAUGGAUAGAUAAGGAUUUAUUUGACAACUUGGACUGGUGCUAAUAGGUAUUUUAAGCAAGCUUUUUGAGAUAACACUGAGCAAGUUAUACUACUAUUUUGCACAUGAUGAUCAAAACUCUCGAAAAGUAAAUAAAAUAAAGUAUUAACUUUUACUUUCAUCUUUUGCAUAGCAAUCAAUGUGGUGCUUGUUCUGUGACAACUUUGAUAAUCUACUUAAUUACUGGUUAGCAUUUGGACCAAAAAAGUUCUUAUGAUUUACAUGUUUUGUAGAAAUGCAUGAACCUUAAAUGUGCUGAUCAGGGAGUUUAAUUAUUGCACCUUGAAAUUCAUUUACUGUUAACUAAUUGGCUUUCCUUUGCAUAAAGCCGCUUAUAAGGCUUGAGUGGACGUCUUUAUGGGCAUAUUUUUUGUAUUUCUCGAUGCAUGCCUUUAUCAUUUAAUGUGGUGCUCGUAUUUCUUUAUGCAUGCCUUUAUCAUUUAAUGGCCAGCUCCCUUUCCUCUUUUGUAAUUUGAAUAGUAGUAUGGGCCUCCAUUUUACAAAUCUUUAACAUUUUUUGCUGUAAAUUAAUUUUUCUUUCAAAUAUUUUGGAGGUCAUUGGAAUUCCUGUAGGUCUAUUUACCAGAUUUUAGUAUGUUUAAGGUUAUAAUUUUGCUUAGACUUUAAUUUUUCUGAAAGAUUGUAGUAUUGAUCCUUAAAGUAAGAUCAUGCUACUUCAAAUUAUUUUGAAGUGUUGCUAGUUAUAGCCUUACAUAUCAAAUUCCAGUUGUCUGGAAAUUUAUUGAUAGCUGUUACAGCAGCAUAUUUUAUGACUCUACUUCUUAGUUAUGUAAGUUCAUUAUGUUUAGGUCAGAGGCAGUCAGCUGUGGGGAAUCGAUUUAUACACAGAUGACUUUGAUCUUGUUGCUGGUAUGUGGUUCUAUGAAUAAUUGUUCACAAUAAUUGUGUUUGCCUCACUGUUUUUGUUUUAUGAGAUCUAUAAUUGAUCUUGGGAUAUUACUUUUUAGUUCUCAUGCAGGCAAGUUACUACCUUCCCACUGCAUCUCCUCCUUUAUCUGCUACUCAAGAGUUGCGUGCCAUAAUCUGGUAUUACCUCUGCAAGAUUGUGAAUGAAUAUGAUGCCUCUAAAUUUAUUUUAUACAUAAUGCUAAUGCUGAAUAAUAUAUUGUAGCUCCUGUCAUAUUCUACUUUGACUUUUUAUAUUCCGUUUCAAAUAAAAAUCUUAUUCAACUUUAGUUGUUCAUGAGCAAAUGUCACAUGUAUAAGCCCAAAUGAUGUUUAAAGGUAGCGCCGCUACCUUCAGUUUGAGCUUACAAUGGGUGAAAAAGAAAUUGAAACUGAUAUUUUGCGGUUUUUCUUAUUUUUCAAAGUAUUUUAGAUCAUGACUUUUGUUUGGACUUGAUGGUUAUAGAUUGUGUCUAGAUUUGUUAAGUCGUUUCCAACACCUCGUGCCAAAUCAAAGCACAAUCUUUCUGAUUCAGAUGUUUUGUUAAUUGUGCUUCAUUUUUUCGUUAAAGGUUGGAUGGUUGAAUGGAUUGAUGGAGUUGGAGUUCAACCAAUAAUUCUAAUUUUUUGGACUUAAAAUGCCUUUUUCUUCUGUAUAAAAGCUUUAGUAAGUGCUAUUGAGUUGACAGAAGUUGAAUACUUACAGGUUGUUUCACACUUUUUAAUAGUUUUACAUAUAUGAAUUUCUGUUUUUUGAAUUGCAGAAAGGAGGUGGAACUAUUGAUUUGGAGCCUUAUCUUACUCACUCAUCAACAACGGAGCCUACCCUCGCUCCUAUGGCAGUGGAACGGACAAUGACUACUAGGGCUGCAACAUCAGUUGGUUCGGGUCUGUUUUGAUAGCGAAUUUUGAUAUGUCAAUAUAAUGUGUAAUUGUUUUGGGUUGAGCUGGUAAUUAUGCUGGAUUAGAUUGGUUUGGUUUUGGUGCUUCGCUGAUGGAACACUGGUUUUUUAGAAAAUUUGAAUGUAAUAUGAGACUACAUUUAGUUUAAUUGAACACUGCAUCUAGUCUAAUUACUAGAAGUGUGGCAUUUGGUUUGGUUUAUCCGAUAUUCUCCAGAAUUUCACUUGCAUCUGGUUUUGUUGCAUAUGUUUGCUUGCAUUUGAUGGCAGUAGCAGACUGUUUGGUUUUGUGGCAUUUGAUGGCAGUUUGGUCUGUUCUUGGUGCUGAUUUACGAUUGUUCCUGAUGUGUUGAUGUUAAUUGCAGGUGCUUGAAUCAGCUAGGGUUGCUGGUUUUUUCAGAUGGUUGACUCAGGCGUUGUUACUGGUUGAUUCAGGUGGCUGGCUCAAGUUGUUCAUUUAAUGUUAGGAAGCAAAUUAAGAAUUAAUGAAGUAUUCAUUUAACUAUAAUUAUUGUAGUUAUUUUAUUUCAUAACUGAAUUAUAAUCUAUGAUACUUGUGAACAAAUUAGAGAAUUUUUAUAUAUAAAUUAUAUAUAUGUGUGUGUAUGUACAUUUUGCUUUUUAUAUAAUAAUUUAAAGAAUAUAUUUCAAUUCCCACAAAAAAAUGGCCCCAAUUUCAAUAAUUCCUGCCAAAUAAUUAAUUUUUUUUAAUUUACCGCCAAAAUAUAUCUUAAAGAAAUGUUAGUUAUUCUUGCUAGAUUUAACAAAAAUAAUUUAUAGGAUUAACAUUUAAUUAAAAUAAUUAAAUAAUUUUACUAUUUCAAUUAAAUGUCAUGUUUAUAUCACAGACAAUAGUCAUGAAUGGGAAGUAUUAGUUACAUAUUUUUCCUUGUAGUUAUUUUAUUUCAUAACUGAAUUAUAAUCUAUGAUACUUGUGAACAAAUUAGAGAAUUUUUAUAUAUAAAUUAUAUAUAUGUGUGUGUAUGUACAUUUUGCUUUUUAUAUAAUAAUUUAAAGAAUAUAUUUCAAUUCCCACAAAAAAAUGGCCCCAAUUUCAAUAAUUCCCGCCAAAUAAUUAAUUUUUUUUAAUUUACCACCAAAAUAUAUCUUAAAGAAAUGUUAGUUAUUCUUGCUAGAUUUAACAAAAAUAAUUUAUAGGAUUAACAUUUAAUUAAAAUAAUUAAAUAAUUUUUCUAUUUCAAUUAAAUGUCAUGUUUAUAUGACAGACAAUAGUCAUGAAUGGGAAGUAUUAGUUCCAUAUUUUUCCUUGGGAUUUCAGGCAAAUGAAAAAAAGAUUGAGAAUGAUUUCAAGAGGACAGGUGGAUGAUAAGUAUUCAUUUUUGUAUAUUUGGCUAAUGUCCUCAUUAGUGGAUUUUUAUGGUAUUGAUUUUUUUUUUUUUGGUUUAUAAUUUUCAAUUAGUUGUUACCCUAGAGGAAGAGCAGGCUGAUCAAAUUGAUUUGUCUUAUUUUUCCGGCAAUCUGCGACACGAUGACUGUGAUAAUGCUCGUGACUGCUGGAAACUUUCUGGUGGAAAUAACUUUAGAGUUCGUAGCAAGCAUUUUUGUUAUGACAAAACAAAGGUUCCCCCAUAUUUUGGUUGUUUGUUAUGGUAUUUAUAUAUCCUGCAUAUGCUAGGUCGACAGGUUAUGAUGUAGUUUGGUUGGCUCUUGUGCUUUGUGCAAUUUGUAACUGCAGAUACCUGCGGGAAAACAUUUAAUGGAUCUUGUUGCUGUUGAUUGGUUCAAAGACACAAAGAGAAUGGACCAUGUAGCUCGGCGUCAAGGCUGUACUGCACAAGUAACUGAAGAAAAAUGUGAAUUGGUUCCUCUUUUUCUUACUUUCCAGAACAGUAUGUACAGGGAAUAUAUACAGCAAAAUAGGAGAGAAAAUAGGAGACUACAUCUAUCCUUUCCUAAAUAAUAGGAAACAAAAUCUGGAAAGAAUCCUAAUGAAUCUUCCCAUUAUAAUUUAACUUAUUCCUAAAAUAGCCUAGAUUACAAAUAAAUCAUAACUUUGAAUCUUUAUUUUCAACACUCCCCCUCAAGCUAGUGUGUGUAUAUCAUACAAACCCAGCUUGUUACUUAAGUCUUCAAAGUUAGGUCUUGGCAGUGCUUUAGUAAGGAUGUCUGCAAUUUGUUGUCUAGUUGGAAUGUACUUUAGUUCCACACUUCCACUAGUGACCUUCUUUGAGAUGAAGUGCCUAUCAAUCUCGACAUGUUUGGUUCGAUCAUGAUGCACUGGAUUUUUUGCGAUGCUGAUUGCUGCUUGAUUGUCACACCUCAUUAGAAUGGAUGAAGGGUUGCACACACCGAGUUCUUUGAGUACACGCUUUAUCCAAAUUCCUUCACAGAUUCCAUUUGCCAAAGCUCUGAACUCUGCUUCUGCACUACUCCUAGCUACAACUGAUUGUUUCUUACUCCUCCAGGUUACUAGAUUUCCCCAGACAUAGGAACAGUAAGCAGAUGUUGAUAUUCUAUUUGUGAUGUCUCCAGCCCAGUCUGCAUCAGAGUAGAUCUCAAUAUUCCUAUAUUCUGAUUUCUUGAAAAACAAUCCUUUUCCAGGUGUCAUCUUUAGAUACUUCAAAAUUCUAAAGACUGCAUCCAUGUGUUCCUCUGUAGGAUUGUGCAUGAAUUGGCUCACAGCACUAACAACAAAGCCUAUGUCCGGACGGGUAUGUGAGAGAUAAAUUAAACGACCAACCAGUCUUUGAUAUCUCUCUCUAUUGACUGGAACACUAUUCUCAACUGAGCCUAGUUUCUUGUAGGGAUCCAUAGGAGUAUCUACUGGUUUGCACCCAAUCAUACCAGUCUCCUUUAGUAAGUCCAGGGUGUAUUUCCUUUGGGAGACAACAAUUCCCUUCCUAGAUCUUGCCACCUCCAUCCCAAGAAAAUAUUUCAGAUUCCCUAGAUCUUUAACUUCGAAUUCCUGAGCUAGCUGUUUCUUCAACUUCUGCAGUUCUUCCUCAUCAUUUCCUGAGAGAAUGAUGUCAUCAACAUAUACGAUUAGGAGAGAGAUCUUCUUUGCUUGUGAUGUUCGGAGGAAUAGAGUGUGAUCUGCCUGACACUGAGUGUAACCAAGUCUCACAACUGCCUUCGCAAAUCUAUCAAACCAUGCUCGAGGGGAUUGUUUAAGCCCAUACAAAGAUUUCUUGAGCUUGCACACUUUAUUUCUAGUAAGAUUCAGAUCAAGACCCUGGGGAACUUCCAUAAACACUUCUUCUUCAAGAUCGCCAUUGAGAAAUGCAUUUUUUAUAUCUAGUUGGUAUAAGUACCAAUCUAGAUUUACUGCUAAGGAGAGCAAGAUUCUAAUGGUGUUGAGCUUCGCAACCGGAGCAAAGGUUUCAAGAUAAUCAAUCCCAUAUGACUGUGUGAACCCUUUAGCUACAAGACGAGCUUUGAGCCUCUCAACACUUCCAUCUGCCUUGUAUUUAACAGUAAAAAUCCACUUACAUCCAACUGGUCGUUUCCCUGCAGGAAGAUUUGUUAUAACCCAUGUAUCAUUUUUCUCAAGAGCAUUUAUUUCUUCAUGAACAGCUCUCUUCCACUCAGGAUGACCGAGAGCCUCUUGUAUAUUGUUGGGAACAUGUAGAUUAUCUAAAGAAGAAACAAAGGCUCGGUAUGAUGGGGACAAACCAUCAUAUGAGACAUAUUUGGCAAUUGGAUGAGUGGUGCAACUUCGAACCCCCUUUCUUUCUGCAAUUGAUUUAUUAGAAUCAUCCACACUUGGAACCAUGAACUCAACCGAGGCAAGACUAUCCAUACCUGUGUUGUCUUCAUAAGAGCUUGGAUUUGGUUCAGUUUCUUGGACAUGUGGCUGAGUUCUGUGCUCUAUCUGCUCUCCAGUUCUUCUCCUCCUAUAAACAUUAAGAUUAUCAACAGCAAGCUGUGGAAGAGGUGAGAUUAGAGGUUGUAGUUGAUGAGCUGAUGGAUGACGGGGUGACUCGGCUGGUUGUGGUUGGGAGGACUCAGAUGACUCAAAAGGUUGUGAAGAUGUUGGGAGGAUUGCUGAUUGUGGCUGUUGGAUAGAUUGAUCAUGUGUGGUGGUUGAGUUAUGAGGGUUUUCAUGAGGGGUUUCCAGCCAAGAUUGCCAAGAAGAUUCCCAAGGCUGAUGUUCGCUCAUACUCUCUCCCUGAACAACAGUUUUGGAAUAGAAAGGCAGGUUUUCAACAAAUGUUACAUCUCUGGAAAUGUAUAUUUUUCUGGUAUGAGGAGAAUAGCAUUUGUAUCCUUUUUUAUGUGGAGAAUAGCCUAAAAAUAUACACUUGAGAGAUCGGGGAUCAAGUUUAGUCCUGUGUUGAGAGUGAACAUGGACAUAUGCUGUGCAACCGAAUAUUUUUUGUGGUAAAUCUGCUGAAACAAUCCUAGUGUGUGGAAAGAAAUUGAGAAGAACUUUUCUUGGGCAAUGAAACCCCAAGACUCUAGAAGGCAUUCGGUUGAUUAAGUAGGCUGUAGUGAGAACAGCUUCACCCCAGAAAAAAUUAGGAACAUGAGAUGAGAACAAAAGACAGCGAGCCACUUCAAGAAGGUGUCUGUUUUUGCGUUCAGCGACCCCAUUUUGUUGUGGGGUGUCAACACAAGAACUGAUGUGAAGAAUGCCUUGAUGGAGAAGAUAUGAGCUGAGGGAGUCUUUGAAAUAUUCCUUGGCAUUGUCGGUUUUAAGGACUUGGAUUUUGGUAUUGAAUUGGGUUUGAAUCAUGGCGUUAAAGUUUUGGAAGAUUUGACUAACUUCGGAUUUGUUUUUCAUGAGAAACACCCAAGUGAGACGAGUAUGAUCAUCCACAAAUGACAAAAACCAGCGAGCCCCAGAAACAUUUUUAAUUCUUGAGGGACCCCACACAUCAUUGUGAAUUAAAGCAAAUGGACGAGAAGGCUUAUACUUAACGCUUGAAUAAACAUUUCGAGUAUGUUUUGCAAAUUGACAAAUUUCACAAUGAAAUGAUAAAGGGUUUUUAUUGAUGAAUAGAUUGGGAAAAAUUUUUGCGAGAUACAUGAAACUAGGAUGACCUAAUCGAUAGUGUAACAGAACAAUUUCACUAUCGUUAUUGACAUUUGGACUAACAAUAGAAUGAGGAUAACUAGUUGACAGACUAUUGGACUUGGCACAGUUUGCUCUCGAAUCUUGUAUGAAGGAGGAUUGAUCGCUUUUGAGUAGAUAGAGUCCAGAACAUAGCUCAGCACUGCCAAUCGUCUUCGCGAAUCCAAGUCCUGAAAAACACACAUAUUUGGAUAGAAUUUAGUUACACAAUUCUGAUCACGAGUGAAUUUACUGAUUGAAAGUAAAUUGCAAGCCAAAUUAGGCACAUAAAGUACAGAAUUAAGGUGUAACUCCUUAGUGAGUCUGAUGGAACCUGUCCCUGCUAUAUUGUGUGAGAGCCAUCUGCGAUCCGGACUGAAGUGCUGUUGAUGCUAGCUUUAUAAUCCUGCAACAUUGAGGCAUCUCCAGUCAUGUGAUCAGAAGCACCAGUGUCAAUUAUCCAGGGUUUGCUUGCUCCAUUAGUGGCUGCAAAUGCUGAAUGAGUCUCUUUCUAAGCCACUAGACUUGUCCCUGCAUUGGAGUUCAAAGUGGCUUGAUCGAAAAGCUUUUGAAGAAUCUCCAUUUGCUCCUUGCUGAAUGGAUUUGGCUCGGGUAGGGCCUGAUUGUCCGUGGUGGAUGCUGCAUGAGCACGAGAUUCACGGUCACCUUUGGAACGAGGUUUCCAAUCAGCAGGUUUGCCAUAAAUUUUCCAGCAACUCUCCUUAUAGUGGCCUGCCUUACGACAGUGAUCGCACCAUGGUCUUUCUUUCUUUGUACGAUUUUCACUAACCCCUACAGAGUUGGAUGCACGGGCAACAAGUGCAGAGGCGCCCAGUGUUGGUUCUGAUGACCCCAUCAUCACCUUUUUCCUACUUUCUUCAUGCCUAACUUCAGAAAAGGCUUCACGAGGGCGCGGUAGAGGCUUUGUCCCGAGUACACGGCUCCUAACCUGAUCAAGAUCUUUAUUGAGUCCGAGGAGAAAUUUAAACGUUCUCUUCUGUUCCACAAUCUUCUUGUACAAGGUUGUAUCGUCGGUGCACUUCCAAGGGUAUGUUUCAAAUAGAUCAAGGUGUUGCCAAUGCCUAGUCAGAGUAUUAAAGUAUUGAGUGACAGAUUGUUCUCCUUGGCGGAAGUCAUGGAGGAUGGUUUCAAUCUGGAAUAACUCUGAUGUGUUCUCAGAGCUAGAAUAGGUUUCCUUUGCAGCAUCCCAUAUGUCAUUUGCAGUCCCAAACAGAAGAAAAUUCUCACCAAUAUCAUUGUUCAUGGAAUUGAUAAGCCAUGACAUGAUCAUGUUGUUCUCUGACUNNNNNNNNNNNNNNNNNNNNNNNNNNNNNNNNNNNNNNNNNNNNNNNNNNNNNNNNNNNNNNNNNNNNNNNNNNNNNNNNNNNNNNNNNNNNNNNNNNNNNNNNNNNNNNNNNNNNNNNNNNNNNNNNNNNNNNNNNNNNNNNNNNNNNNNNNNNNNNNNNNNNNNNNNNNNNNNNNNNNNNNNNNNNNNNNNNNNNNNNNNCACGUAACAGAGGUUGAUGAGGAAGCCAUCCCGUAUUUUGCCACAGAGAAUACAACUGAUGGGAGAGGAAGGAAGGUAGAUUGUUCAAUUUAUGAGAGAAGAAGGAAAUGGCGGCUGAUAGGAGAACUAGGGUUUAGAGCCAGGCUCUGAUACCAUGAAGAAAAAUGUGAAUUGGUUCCUCUUUUUCUUACUUUCCAGAACAGUAUGUACAGGGAAUAUAUACAGCAAAAUAGGAGAGAAAAUAGGAGACUACAUCUAUCCUUUCCUAAAUAAUAGGAAACAAAAUCUGGAAAGAAUCCUAAUGAAUCUUCCUAUUAUAAUUUAACUUAUUCCGAAAAUAGCCUAGAUUACAAAUAAAUCAUAACUUUGAAUCUUUAUUUUCAACAGUAACUAUUCUUUUCUUUUUAUUUUUCCUUUUCUGAAAGAAACUUAGUUUUGUAUUGUUUGGCAAGCUAGAAAAUGAAAGAAAAUAAAAGAAAGCGCUGUAAAGAAGUUUGUAGAACCUUUAUUACUCUAGCAUUACAACUGAAUGAAUACAGACUGAUAUUUCUAUUAAGCUACAAUUUUCUCAACACACACACAAGUUUGUUACAUCACAUAACCAUUUGCUGCAUAACUAAUUUGACACAUCAGCUCAACCAGCUAACUAACUUUGCCAGGUCAAGCCUAGUGAGUUGAUCUGCUAAAGUCAGCUACACAGCAACAUCAUGCUCUGCUCCAACUUCAUUCAAUUCACUAACAUCCCCCCUCAAGCUGAAAUGUUUAGGAUGAACAUUCAGCUUGCUUCUUAAGUAACUAAACUGUUUGAGAGUAAGCCUUAGUCAACACAUCUGCUGUUUGAUCUUGACUGGGCACAAAACAUACUUCAAUCUCUUUUGCAGUAACUUUAUCUCGAAUAAAAUGUAUAUCCAAUUCGACAUGCUUAGUUUUAGCAUGAUAGACUGGAUUGUAAGCUAAAGCAAUUGCUUCUUGAUUAUCACACCACAUCAUAGGAGUAGAGCUCAAUUUGAUGUUAAGUUCACCAAGUAAAGAUUGUAUCCAGGGAACCUCUGAAGCAGCAUGAGCAAGAGAUCUAUACUCAGCCUCUGUGCUGGACCUGGAAACAACAACUUGUUUCUUUGAUGACCAUGAGACUAGAUUAGGGCCUAGGUAAACAGCAAAGCCAGCCACUGACUUCUUAUCAUCACGAUCACAAGCCCAAUCAGAAUUUGAAAAACAAUGUAGUUGCAAAGUUCCUUUGUUAUUAAAUUGCAGCCCAAGAUGUAUAGUGCCUUUUAAGUACCUCAAUAACCUUUUGCAUGUUUCCCAAUGUUGUGUUCUAGGACUUGAAAUGAAUUGACUUAGGUUGUUUACAGAGAGAGCAAUGUCAGGUCUGGUAAGAGUAACAUAUUGAAGAGCUCCUAUAACACUCCUAUAUUGAGAAACAUUAUCAAUUAGCUCUCCUGAUUCUUUUGUGAGAUAAUAACCAGUAGACAUUGGAGUAGGCACAGGACUGCAAUCUGUCAUGCCAUGUUUAUCCAGAAUGUCAGUAAUAUACUUUGCUUGUGUCAAGGAAACCCCUUGUGAAGACUUGCUGACUUCAAUCCCCAGAAAAUAGCUAAGUUCCCCCAUGUCUUUUAAAGCAAAGGCUUGAUUCAUAAUCUUAAUAACUUGCUGAAUUAGUGUUGGACUGGAACUAGUGAUGAUAAUAUCAUCAACAUAGACCGAAACAAGAGUUAGAUGACCACUGUUCCAGGCAUGAAACAGAGAGUUAUCAGACCUUGAAUGCUAGAAAUGCCGUUUAGAGAUCAUUGCAUCCUUGAAUCUAUCAAACCAGGCUCUAGGUGCCUGUUUUAAGCCAUACAAAGCUUUAUUCAGCUUGCAGAUAUGAUUAGGUUUAGUUGAGUCAACAAAACCUUCAGGUUGAGCCAUGUACACCUCUUCAAUUAAAAUGCCAUUUAGAAAGGCAUUAUUAACAUCUACUUGCCUAAUCACCCAUUGAUUCAAUACUGCUAAGCUAAGAAUAACUCUAACAGUUGAAGCUUUAACUACUGGACUAAAAGUUUCUGUAUGGUCAAUCCCAUGUGUCUGAUGAAACCCCUUUGCAACAAGCCUGACUUUAUAUCUUGAAACUGAACCAUCUGAGUUAUACUUUAUUCGAAACACCCAUUUGCUGCCAACUAUCUUCACUGGAGUAGCAUGUAAAACUAAAUCCCAGGUGUGAUUAGUUUUAAGUGCUAGAUACUUUUCUUGCAUAGCCUUAUACCACAUAGGAUCAGAAAGUGCUUGGGAAACAGAAGUUGGUUCUGAUUUCUGGGCUAAUAAAGCUGACAAAUAAAUUUUUGGCUUGAAAAUACCUGCUUUUGACCUGGUUAUCAUUGGAUGACCAGUUGAUGCAGGUUGUGGCAAUGUAUGUGGAGGUGAAUUAUGUGGUAGUGAAGAAGAAGAAGCUGAGUUGGAAUUAUCAGAAAAAUAAAGUGGAGUAGAAUUUGGUGAGGGAGUAGGAGCAUCUGAAUGAUGAACAUUUUGAUGGUGUUCUGAUGAUGCUGCUAAAGGUGCUUGUAACUGAGUAAUAGAAGGAACAGAGGAAUUGAAAGAAGACUUAUAAUUUUUUGUUGACUAACAACUUGAAGAGAGUGAAGAAAAAUCUGCUCCAGACUCAUAAGGAAAAGAAUUUUCAUCAAAGGUGACAUGAUUUGAAAUGUAAACCCUCUUAGAAGAGUGAAGACACUGAUAUCCCUUGUGUUGUGAAUUGUAGCCAAUGAAUAUACAUCUGGCAGUUCUGAAAUCAAACUUAUGUCUAUUGUAUGGUCUGAGUGUUGGAUAACAAGCACAACCGAAGGUUUUAAGUGUUGAAUAAUCUGGUUGAUGAUGAAAUAACUUUUGGAAAGGAGAAAUGUUGUUUAGAAUUGGAGUUGGAAGUCUGUUUAUCAAAUAGACAGCUGUGUGGAAUGCAUUCCACCAAAAUUUGAGUGGUAAAUGUGCUUGAGCUAAUAAGGUCAGACCUACAUCAACUAUGUGUCUAUGUUUCCUCUCAAUUCUUCCAUUUUGAUGAUGAAUAUGUGGGCAAGGGUGUCUAAAAUGGAUACCAGAAGCAGUGAGUAAUGAGGAAAAUGUUCUGAACUCUUCUCCCCAAUCAGUUUGGACAGUUUUGAUUUGAAGUUGAAGAUGCUUUUCAAUAAAAAUUUUGAAAUUGGUAAACACUUCAAGAGCAUCAGAUUUGGCUGACAAUGGAAAUAUCCAGGUAAAUCUACUAUAAUCAUCUAAGAUUGAUAAGUAGUAAUUAUAUCCUUGGGUAGAACAGACAUGAGAAGGACCCUGAUGGCUGUCGAAGCCAACAAAAAUAAAUUCCUACUCUAAAUAAAUUGUGUAUAGUGAUUGAGCAGGGUCGUGUCCACAGAGAUCGAUAAUUAUUUAAAUCCUUUUGAAACGUAAAACGUAAAAUGGGGGAAUUGUUGACAAUAAUAAAAAUCAAAUUAAAAAUAACAAGAAUGCAAAUUAAAGUUGUAAUUUAAAUUGGAGAAAGCUCUGGUUGAAGGAAUUAACUCAGCUUGAUUCGACUACUGAUCAUUGAUUCAAAUAUAGAUUAUUAUUACUCAUGAAUAGACCGGUUAUAGCUACUGAGACCCUCUAAUAGCCAAUCUCUCCUUAACUAGUCGAUAACCAAGGUACGACCGUUGGUUAUUUCCCUAAUCAAUAGACAACCCUAGAUACGAUCAUAGAAUUUAAUCAAUUGACAGCCUGAAAAACCAGAGAGACCCAAAUCCUAAUCAACACAUAUGAUGAUUCAUUUAAAUUAGAUUGUUUAUUCUCACAACACAACUCUCUGCUAUGUUAUUAGUCACAAGCAUUAAAUUCUUCAUACGAUGAAUCCUUUAAUUGACAAUAGAUUAAGUUGAUAAUUAAAUAGUGGCCAAUUACCUAAUUAACAAACAUAAUCAUGAAAAUAAUUCAGAGAAUAAACAAAUACCCAAAAAGUAAUAAAACAAUUAAAGCACAAGAAAGAUCUCACAGUAGUGAUGAAUCAAAGCUUCAUUAACCUUCAACCAGAAAAAUGGGUUUAGUUUCUCAUAGAGAGAAGAGAAAAAUUAGAUCUAGGGUUUCUUUUUCUCCAAUCCAAAAUUCCCCCCUUUCACAAUAGAUUCCUCCCUUAAAUACUCUCUCUCUCUUCUCCUCUAGAAUUCUAUUUAAAAUAAAAUACUAAUAUCUGAAAUAUUAAAUUCGUAAUUACAAAAAUAACCAAAAAUACAAAACACGUUAAACUAAAAACUGCAGGUCCGCAGUUGACAGCACGCGCCCACGCCUUAUCAAUAAAGUUCUUCUGCCGCUCAUAAUUUCUCCAAGAGAACAAUCAUCCUUAAAAAUCAUCUUGUAGCUCAAUUUUAUCACCAAUCAAUAGAAUUGCACCUACAAAAGUAAAACACAAGUAAAUCAUUAUUAUUAAGUGCAAAACAUCGAUAUUAAGGGAAGUAAACAAUGCAAAACUAGUGCAUAAAUUGCACUCUAACAAAUUCCCCCACACCAAGAUGAUGCUUGUCCUCAAGCAUAUAACUCAAGAUUAAUCCCAAAUCUCCACUCAAUUCUCAUCUCAACUCAUCCAAAAAUAGAAAUUAAGUCGAUCAACAUUCGAGAGACAAGGAUUUUAAAGCAUAGAAUCUCAUAAGAUAGAAUAAGAACAUUCAACCACCAAGAAGAUCCAUUCAAAAUUCAAGUGCAACAAGAUGUAAUAGCCCUCUCAAUAACUUCACUCCAUGCACUCAAAGUGUUUAGGGUGUCAUUUAUCCACUCAAAUCAAAUCAAAGAAUGCUAUUACCAUAAGCUUGCUCAUAUAUCACAUCUCAAUCCACAAAACAUGAAUAAAAUGCAAAAAUCUAAGGGUCUUAAAAGGAUUGUAAUGGGGUUAAAUGGGUUAAAUGAAAAAGAAAGGUUUACGAAAGAAAAAGAGAUCAAAAUGAGAAGAAUGAACUCAUUGAAUGAACUUAUGAUAUCAAAAUGCUUAUUUCUACUCAAGUCACCAAGAAUGUAAACAUUUUUUUUUUCGAUUUUUCUUUUUCUUUUUUUUUCUUUUUCCUUUUCUUUUUCUUUUUUUUUUUCAUUUUUUCAUUUUUUUUUGUUUUUUGUUUUUUGUUUUUUUCGAAUCAAACAAAAGAAACGAACCUUGCACAAUUUAAUUCAAGCAUAAUGCUUGUUGAUCUAAUUGAGAAACUUCAAUACAAGGUAGAAAAAGCAACAAAAUAUAUCCACACAAUGAGUCCAAAAAUCUCCUUAAAUUGAGGCUCAAAAAGAAGAAAAAUGGUUAAGUAGACGGAGAGAAUUAGAUGGGUAAUGGUUAAGGCUCAAACAAAGGUAGCAAAUAAAGGUCUUCGGGUAGAGAAAAAGGAAAAUGCGAGAAUAGAAAAAUGGUAAAUGGUUUGCCCUUAUCAUUUUAAUGCCUAAAAUCCCGUAAUGUGGCUUCAAUAUGCAUAACAAAGCAAAUUCUAGAAUAAACAAACUAGGAUUGAUAUUCACAUAACAAAAAUAAUUAGAGCAAAGUGGUUGCUCAUAGGCUCAAAUCCUCACAAAGUUGGUAAAUUUGCCAUCAAAUCAUGUACACUCUUCAAAUGAAUCAACCAUCAAUAGUGGUGUAGAAUGAGAAGAAGGUAUGAGUGAUAUAUAAAAGAAAAGGUAAAAAUUAUAAGAAGUGAGAAAGAUGUAUGUAGUAAUAUGAAAAGUGAAAGAUAAAAUGUGAGUGAUGAAAGAGUAUGGUAAAAUAAAAAUAGAUAUGAAUAGUUUGAGAUAGAUGGGAAAAAAGUAGUGAGAAAGAAAAGAAAAGAAAAUUAAUAAUAUAUGAAGCAUACUAACUCCAAAAUCAUUUAAGGAUGAGUAGAGUGAAAAUAGAUGAGUAGAGUGAAAAUAAUAAUUCCAGACAUCAAUAAUGCAAAAAUCCCUCCCCCACACCAAGAACUUACAUUGUCCCCAAUGUAAGAUAAUCAAAGCUCACAUAAAAAUUAAAGCGUAAGGAUAAAAGAUUAAGGGCAAAAAAAAAAACUUCCCUGAAUUGUGAGCUUUGAUCCACAUAACGUCUAUGGGCUUGGCGGAAAUGGUGGGGUAAAUCCCACACUCUCGAAGUAUGCGGCCAAAUUCUGCUCCAUCUUGUUCAGCUUGUGCUCCAUUUUCUCUAACUGAAUACUCAAAGGUGGUGCGGAUGUAGAAGGAAUAGUUGGCGGGGCAGCAGUGUCGUCGUCAAACUCGUCAUCAGAGGUAGCACCACUCCUAGCAUAAAGCUUCUUCGGAAGUUGAGUGGGUCCUGGUUCAGUAAACUGAAAUCUCCCCUCCUUGAAUUCAACCACACCUGUUCUUUCAAACACAGACAUAUCCAAAAAUUCCUUUUUGCAAGCAGGAUGCAAAUCAUUAUUGUCGGGAUCAAGAACACAUAGGUUUAUAGCUAACAGAGUAAUGUAUGGACCAAGAAAUAAAGUCCUAUACCGUUUAAGCACAUUUUGAAAUUGAUCCGCUAACCAAAAACCUAAAUUAGGCCUCACAUCAUUUAACAUGCACCAGAUAAAAUAAAAUUCAGUUUUAGAGAAAAUUCCCGAGUGAUCUUUCUUGCCUAAAAAAUUAUAUGCUAAGAAUCGAUGCACACAUUUCAAAACAGGAUCACGUAAGAAAGAACUCUUUGAUUUACUCGGGUCAUAGGCAUUGUGAUCAACAGAUAAAUUACGCCAAAGACCAUAAGGCUCAAAAUUUUCGCUAAAGUCACAAGUUGUUCCUAAAUAUGCAUCACUAGAAGAAUAAUCAUCAUCAAUGAAUCCUAAAGCUAGGUUAAAAUCCGUGAUAGAGUGUGAAAAAUUUCGUCUCAUUAACCUAAACUUAAUGACAUUCGGGGUAUGCAAAGUAAAAUCAUUCGGCAUAGUAAAUUGAAAAGUAGCAUAAAACUCCCUAAUCAACUCAACAUAACCCAAACAAUCAACAUCAACAAAUUUACGCAACCCAAUCUUAUCUAUCAAAGAAUCAAAAUUAUCCUUAACAUUCAAUUUUUCAAGAGUCGGGUAAUGAAUAUACUUAGCUGGAAGUAUUUUGCAAGUGGAAAUAUCUUUGUACCUCUCUUUCUCUUGUUGAGUCGCGAACGCGAGGCACCCUCCGAGAUUGGAUUCCGCAAGUGGCAAAACACUCAUGCCUUUUCCAUGCUUCGAUCUUUGUCUCACGGCUUUGCGUGAAUCUGAAAUUGUGUUCCAUGGAACCGUAGUGGGAGCGGCAAUCUUAGAUUUCUUUACGACGGGUUUCUUUUUCGAUGACUUGGAAGUAGAUGCUUUCCUCUUCGGCAUUGUUACAAUAAUUGCACUCACGGAUUUCGAUUUACCCGGCUGGAAUACAUGACGUAGGCUGGUUGCGUUGCGUUGCUGCUCGACUGGAGCUUGCUGUGCGGGUUGGAGCUGGUUGCGCACUGCUGGGCUGCGAGACACGGGAUGCUGGUGCUGCGCUCGCGGGGGCUUGCGUUGCGAGCUGGUGAUUCGCGUUGCUGGUUCGUGCUGCGUUGCGGGGCUGCUGGUGGGACUGAUGUUGCGCGUUGCGGCUGGGGCUGGAUCUACGCACUGCUGUGUGAUUCGCGAGAGCCGGUUCGUCUGCGUUGCUGUGCUGCACUGAGGUUGAUUCGCGUUGCUGCUGGUUGCGGUGCGCGAUGCUGCGCCCGGCGGCUGGGGCUGGUGGGGCUUGCUGCUGGAAAACGAUAAUCAACAGUAAUUUUUUUGAAUUAGGGAUUUGUGAACAGUGAUUUUCGAAUUUUUUUUUUUUUUUUUUUUAGUGAUGAAUCACUUUGAGACACUAAAAAUUUCAGAAGUACUUUUUUAAUAAGCACGUGGGCACGCCUUAUCAAAAAUUUUCUUCUGGCCAAAAUAAGCAAACACAUUAUUUUAAAAAAAAAUCUGAAUCAAAAUUAAAAGAAGAUAUAACAAAAACCAAAAUAAAUAAAUCAUUUGGGUUGCCUCCCAAAAAGCGCCUUUGUUUUAUGUCUUUGGCUAGACACGUUUAUGCAUCAAUCUCCAUAAUUGGGACUCUCGAGAGCCACAUCCUCCACAAUAUUCACCGAAAAACCUUCAUAAAAAGGUUUUAAGCGAUGACCAUUAACCUUAAAAACUUUGUCAGAGGUCGGACUCCGAAUCUCAACUGCACCAUGAGGAAAAACAUUAGUAACAAUAAAAGGUCCAACCCAGCAAGAACGUAAUUUACCCGGAAAAAGUUUAAGCUUAGAAUGAAAAAGAAGAACUUUUUGACCAACAGAGAACUCCUUUCUCAAAAUCAUUCUAUCAUGAAAUGUCUUCGUCUUUUCCUUGUAAAAAAUUUCCUGCGCUAUAGGGUUAAUAACAUCCACAGAAAAUACCGAAUGUUCCUCACUAGGAUAUUUCAUGGUAUCAUUCAUAUUGAAUCCUAUAACCUCUCCAUCAAACUCCAUAGUGAGAGUCCCUUUAUGUACAUCCAUUUUAGUCAUAGCAGUCUUAAGAAAAGGUCUUCCUAGCAAAAUUGGGACAGAAUUAGAGGAGUUAUCAUCUUCCAUAUCAAGUACAUAAAAAUCAGCAGGAAAAACCAACUCAUUAACUUGUACUAAGACAUCUUCUAAUACCCCAUCAGGAUAUGCAUUAGACCUAUCAGCUAGUUGAAUUAUCACGCCAGUUUCUUUUAAUGGACCAACAUUCAAAGAUGAAUAAAUGGAACGAGGCAUGACAUUAAUAGAAGCUCCUAGAUCUAACAUAGCCUUUUCAACUCUAACACUACCAAUUUUACAAGGGAUAGUAAACAUACCUGGAUCCUUGCACUUAGGAGGUAGUUUCUUUUGGAAAAUUGCUGAAACAUUCUCCCCCAUGUGAACUUUUUCAUCUCCUCUUAAUUUUCUUUUGGAGGUGCACAGUUCCUUAAGGACUUUAGCAUAUCGAGGUAUUUGUUUUAUAGCAUCUAAUAAAGGAAUAUUUACCUCAACCUUGCGAAAUGUCUCAAGGAUGUCUUUCUCUUGUUCUUCCUUCUUGGAUUUUGCAAACCGGCUUGGAAAAGGAGGAGGUAUCACAAUAGGUAGGGGUUUCGCUCCGGUGGGUUGUGCAUCUUGAGAUUGAGGCAUCAAUUCAUUCUUCUCAAGCUCAUCUUCUACAUGCUCUGUCACUUUCUUACUAGGCUCUUGCAACUCCUUCCCACUUCUAAGGAUGAUAGCACUAACGUUUUGCUUUGGAUUCACCUCAGAUUAUGAAGGCAAUCUUCCUAAUACUCGAGACUCCAGAUGGCUUACUGUAGUCGCCAAUUGACUCAUUUGGUUCUCCAAGUUCUGAAUGCUUGCUGUAGUUGCCUGCUGAAAUUGUUGAGUGUUAGUCGCAAGUGAUUUAACAAUUUCUUCAAGAGAUAUACCUGACUUGGAGUUUGACUGUGGAGGUGCUGGUUGUCUUGGUGGAUACUGUUGUGGGAAUCCUGACGGUUUAACUCCAUAGCUGAAGUUGGGAUGAUCCUUCCAUCCCAGAUUGUAUGUUUGUGCAUAAGGAUCAUACCUCCUCUGAGGCAUGCCUGGAAAUCCUCCAACUGCAUUGGCUUGUUCAACGAGUUCUUCUUGGAGUGUAGGACACAUAUAAGUUGAAUGACCCAUAUUGUAACAAAUGCCACAAGUCUUCACCUGUUGCACAUUACCUACAACAAACUUUUCCACAAGAGAAGUAAGUUUAUCUAAACGUUGUUCAACAAAAGAAAUAUUUACCUCAUUCACCUUCCUUGAAGUGGGAUCUUGCCUGCUACUAAAUUGUUGUGCAUUGGCAGCCAUAUUUGAGAUCAACUCCCUUGCUUGAGUAGGGGUUUUGUUCACCAACACACCUCCACUAGCAGCAUCUAUCAUACUUCUAUCCAUUAAUGAUAGUCCUUCGUAAAAAUAUUAAAUAAGAAGUUGAUCAGAAAUCUGAUGCUAAGGACAGCUGGCACACAAUUGUUUGAAUCGCUCCCAAUACUCAUACAAAGUCUCCCCAGGAAGUUGUCUGAUCCCACAAAUAUCUUUUCUGAUGUUGGCAGCUCUUGAAGUAGGAAAGUACUUCUCAAGGAACUGCUUUUUCAAACCAUUCCACGUUGUAAUUGAUCCAGGAGGCAAGUAGUACAACCAAUCUUUAGCUAGCCCAUCUACAGAGAAUGGAAAAGCACGCAACUUAAUCUGCUCUUCAGUCACGCCUUGUGGCCUCAUACUUGAGCACACAACAUGAAACUCCUUGAGAUGUUUAUGAGGAUCUUCACCUGCAAAACCAUGAAACUUGGGUAAUAAAUGAAUAAGCCCAGACUUUAAUUCAAAAUUUACCUCCAAGUCUACAUAUUGAAUGCAGAGUGGUUGUUGAUUCAAGUCUGGUUCAGCUAACUCUCUAAGAGUUCUUUCUACAGGUGCAGGUCUAUCCAUCACUUGUUCUUCUGAAUCGCUAGAUGAUUCAACUAAAUCAGGCACUGUAUCUGUUUCAGAAAGCAAAGGCGACGAGGAUCGUUGCUUAGCUCGCUUUGUCUGCUGUCUCAGUUGGCGAGCUGUCUUCUCAAUUUUAGGAUCAAACGAAAGUGUACCUGUACGAGAAGAACGAACCAUACACCAAGUAAAACGUAAAAAAGAUUAAAUAAAUGACACCAAUCCCCGGCAAUGGCGCCAAAAUUUGAUGGGUGUCGAAGCCAACAAAAAUAAAUUCCUACUCUAAAUAAAUUGUGUAUAGUGAUUGAGCAGGGUCGUGUCCACAGAGAUCAGUAAUUAUUUAAAUCCUUUUGAAACGUAAAACGUAAAAUGGGGGAAUAGUUGACAAUAAUAAAAAUCAAAUUAAAAAUAACAAGAAUGCAAAUUAAAGUUGUAAUUUAAAUUGGAGAAAGCUCUGGUUGAAGGAAUUAACUCAGCUUGAUUCGACUACUGAUCAUUGAUUCAAAUAUAGAUUAUUAUUACUCAUGAAUAGACCGGUUAUAGCUACUGAGACCCUCUAAUAGCCAAUCUCUCCUUAACUAGUCGAUAACCAAGGUACGACCGUUAGUUAUUUCCCUAAUCAAUAGACAACCCUAGAUACGAUCAUAGAAUUUAAUCAAUUGACAGCCUGAAAAACCAGAGAGACCCAAAUCCUAAUCAACACAUAUGAUGAUUCAUUUAAAUUAGAUUGUUUAUUCUCACAACACAACUCUCUGCUAUGUUAUUAGUCACAAGCAUUAAAUUCUUCAUACGAUGAAUCCUUUAAUUGACAAUAGAUUAAGUUGAUAAUUAAAUAGUGGCCAAUUACCUAAUUAACAAACAUAAUCAUGAAAAUAAUUCAGAGAAUAAACAAAUACCCAAAAAGUAAUAAAACAAUUAAAGCACAAGAAAGAUCUCACAGUAGUGAUGAAUCAAAGCUUCAUUAACCUUCAACCAGAAAAAUGGGUUUAGUUCCUAAUAGAGAGAAGAGAAAAAUUAGAUCUAGGGUUUCUUUUUCUCCAAUCCAAAAUUCCCCCCUUUCACAAUAGAUUCCUCCCUUAAAUACUCUCUCUCUUCUCCUCUAGAAUUCUAUUUAAAAUAAAAUACUAAUAUCUGAAAUAUUAAAUUCGUAAUUACAAAAAUAACCAAAAAUACAAAACACGUUAAACUAAAAACUGCAGGUCCGCAGUUGACAGCACACACCCACGCCUUAUCAAUAAAGUUCUUCUGCCACUCAUAAUUUCUCCAAGAGAACAAUCAUCCUUAAAAAUCAUCUUGUAGCUCAAUUUUAUCACCAAUCAAUAGAAUUGCACUUACAAAAGUAAAUCAUUAUUAUUAAGUGCAAAACAUCGAUAUUAAGGGAAGUAAACAAUGCAAAACUAGUGCAUAAAUUGCACUCUAACAGACCCCAAAGAUCUGCAUAUAUCACUUGUAAGGGUGCUGAAGUUUUUGUUUCAACUGAAUCAAAAUGCAGCAUAUGAUUUUUCCCAUAUUGACAUGCUGAACAAAAUUUCAAGCUUUCAAUUUUAUUAUAAGCAGUAGAGUUGUUACAAGUUUUGAGUAUAGUUUUGAGAGUAUAAGAUGCUGGGUGUCCUAAUCUUCUAUGAAGAAGAUUUACAUCAAUAGAACUCUUUGUAACAACUGACAGACAUGGCUUUUUAUUCAAUUCAUAAGAACUAACAGCAGUGAGCUGAUCAGAAUUGAAAACAGGAGAACAAGCAAAGAGAGUGAAUUUUAUUUUGACCAACUGAAUUGAGAAAGACUGAAUGAGCAGCAACAUGUGAAGAGACUCUAUACAAGUCACCUUUAGCAACACCUUCAAGUAAAAUUUUCCUUGUGUUCCUAGCCUUUAUAAAAAACAAAUCACCAAGAAAUUCCAACAGUAACUGGAUUGUCAGCCAAUAAUUUUGAAAUGCUAAGCAAAUUCUUAGUAAUAAAAGGGACAUGAAGAACAUGGUUUUUAAAGGUUUAGAAGUUGAAGUAUUUAGCACAACUGAUCCUACAUGUGUAAUAGCUAAUGCAUUUCCAUCUCCAACAAACAAUUUUUCAGUACUAGUAUAAAUUUGUGAAUCCAGAAGUUUACCUAGAUCAUUUGUAAUGUGAUUUGUUGCUCCACUAUCAAUAUACCAUGAAGGAUCUUCAAUGUGUUCUGGUGGAAGUGAAGAAGGCAUAGCUGAGGAAGAUGAAGCACUUGACUGUCCAGGAUUAUUAUUUCCUUGACCAGAAACAAAAGUAGAUGGUCUAGGGGUGAAUGAGUAAUAAGCAGAAGGAUUACUAUCUGGAUACACCAUAUUUCCUUGAUAGCCAAAACCAGCAUUUAAACCAAAACCUCCAAAACCUCUGCCACCAUUACCAUUAAAAGCUCUUCCUCUACCAUAUUGCCCUUGAUUAAAACCUCUGCCACCAUUCAUAUUACCUCUGCCAUAGUUUCUCUGUGGAACAAAAGAUGAAUUGUACCUAUUUUUGCAUCUAUUGGCUGCAUGACCAGGUAUGAAGCAGAUUUGACAAACAGUUUCAGAGGAAUUACCACCAUUAUUAAACUGACCAUAUCCAUAUCCAUUAAAACCUCCAUACCUAGAAUUAUUUCCAUAAUUUUUUUGAAAAUUGCCAUUAUUCUUUCCAGCAUAUGAGUUCUUCUGAGCAAUAUUUGCUGUCAUAUUGUGCAUCACAUCACCAGCAAUUUUUCCUUUCUUUUGUUCAACUCUAUUUUCAUGAUUCAAUAGCAAAGGAUAUAGUUCAUCUAAUGUUAUCUUCUCACCUCGAGCUAAAACACCUGUGACUAAAGAUUCAUAAUCUGAUGAAUCAAGACCAGUUAAUACAUGAAUCACAAGAUCACUUAACUCAACAGGUUUUCCAGCUAGAGCUAAAGUAUCAGCUAUACGUUUUACUUUUGCAAAGUAAUCAGACAUAUGCAUUGCACCUUUCUUAAUAGUUUGAAUCUGCAUUCUAAGUGUUUGAAUUCUAGCUUGUGAUUAAGAAAUAAACAUACUAGUAAGAGUCUUCCAAAGCUGUUUUGAAGUUGUGGAGUCAAUCACAGUAGCAAGUAGAUUUUGCUGUAUCGACGACAUCAUCUAACUCAACAGAAGUUGAUCAGUCUUCAUCCAAGCUAUGAACUCUGGAUUAAUAGAUUUGGAUUCAGAUUCAGUAAAAAUUUCAGCUCCAUUGUUGUUUCCAAAAGAAAGAAACUACUCAGGACAUUCUUGAUCACCAUUGAUAAACCCUUCCAGACCGUUUCCUUUGAUCGAUGCUAAAAUUUGUGCCCGCCAUAAAAUGAAGUUGUUUUGGUCUAGCUUUGCAGGCGUAACAAAACUAAAAGAGUUGUUAUUUUGAACUGUAUUCGCCAUUUAUGGCUCUAAUACCAUGAAAGAAACUUAGUUUUGCAUUGUUUGGCAAGCUAGAAAAUGAAGAAAAUAAAAGAAAGCUCUGUAAAGAAGUUUGUAGAACCUUUAUUACUUUAGCAUUACAACUGAAUGAAUACAGACUGAUAUUUAUAUUAAGCUACAAUUUGCUCAACACACACACGAGUUUGUUACAUCACAUAACCAUUUGCUGCAUAACUAAUUUGACACAUCAGCUCAACCAGCUAAUUAACUUUGCCAGGUCAGCUUAGUGAGUUGAUCUGCUAAAUUCAGCUACACAGCAACAUCAUGCUCUGCUCUAGCUUCAUUCAAUUCACUAGCAUUUUCCCUUGAUACAUUAGGAGAAAAGACUGCCUGUGAGAUACAACAAUGUAAAUAACUUCUCAUGGUUCAUUGAAUCUAUAACGCACUGAGCCCUAUUCUAAAAUAUGUAGGUUGCUUCUGAAAAAGGGCUUUUCUCACUGAUCUUUAAUCUUCAAGAAAGUUUGUUUCAUUUCAGAAGGUAUAAGUUUCAAACUUAUUGUAUUGGGAGGUUGUAUAGUUGUAACCUAAGCAUCUGCAGGUUCCUGGUUCAACACAUUAUAGUAUGGUAUUUUAUUUUGUCACAAGGCAAUUGGUUACGGGAUCACUUUUGCAACGGUUUGUUGAUGGCGAUGAUGAAUUUCGCAAUAGUAGGUUGAAACUUAUUCCAUCUGUUCCUAAGGUAUCCAUCUUGGCCUUCAUGUAGUAGGACUAUAUUAACGUAUACUUACCCUUUACUGCAUGGUACACUUCAAUUUGUACAAAGAAGGCAUGCAUUUAGGUGUGAAUGUAUUGAUGGGUUGUACCUUCAAACUUUAUCUCCUUUUUACCCUCUUGAAUUUGUUUUGCACUUGUUCUUGAUUUUCAGCACUGAAUCAUGCAGGGGUCAUGGAUAGUGCGCCAGAGUGUUGGAAGCACCCCUUGUUUAUUGGGGAAGGCAGUUGAUUGUAACUAUAUUCGCGGUCCCAAGUACUUAGAAGUAAAUGCUCUUGGAAUUUCUAUAGUACAUGAGAUGUUCCCCUUUCAAAUAGCGUCCAAUACCUUUAACAUGGUUUAACAUUGUUCAUCUUUCUGUAGAUUGAUGUUGACAUCGAUUCUUCUACUGUUGCUAAUGGAGUUUUGGGCCUUGUAAUUGGUGUAAUUACGACAUUGGUGGUUGAGAUGGCUUUCCUUGUACAGGUAUGUAUGAUUGUUUUUUUCCCCCACUGCUAAAUGGACACAAGGGAAAAGACAUGAUUUUGAGAUAUUGCACUGCAACUUGCAUUUUUGCAUACUUGAAUGUUCUCAGAAUGAUAUAAUGCUUCUGUGUGUGUCUUCUUUAUCUUGCUCUUCUGUAUGCAGGCAAAUACUACAGAUGAAUUACCGGAGCGGCUGAUUGGUGCUGUACGUGUUUCUCAUAGAGAACUCAAGUCUGCUGUUGUCCCAAAGCUGGAACCAGAGAUAUCAUGACUCUGGUUUCAUUUCAGCUCAACUGUGUUUUUUUUUUAAUUAAAAAAAUCAUUUGUUUUAGGUAUACAUACAUGUAUUUUGAUUCUAUUUUCAUUGUAAUUUCUCAUUUACUUUGAAUGAAAGUCAUUGGUGUUUUCGAAUGGGAAUUUUGCAUUAAAAAAUGAAGAAUAAUGAAUAGGAAAUUUCCUGAUUCUUUAGUUACUAUUUUUGGUAUGAGUGUAAUUAGUAGUAAAGUAGGUUUCUACUCGCAAACAAGUGAACUACUCGAUUCCCGAGUGGUAUCAACCAGUUUCCAACUUUUUAAUAUACACUAAUUGUUAUUGUUUAAUAGCUACUACUAUUAAAACUCAACAGCUAGCAAAAAUACUUAAAAAAAAUGAUUUUUCUUAUGAUGCUGUGAAAAAAAUUACGGGUGUACUUCUUUCCAUGAGAUCUAUAACAUGGUCUCGACUUCACGAAAUUCUUUUAAUUUAAAGCGUGCUGGUGUGAGGUCAGUUUAACUGAUUAAUUCUUUUUAACAGUGGUCGAGAUAAUUUUACUAUACUAAAAAAUAUUCUUAUUCUGAUAAUGCCACAAAUGUUAUGCUGUUUUCUUCAGAUAAUGAUCUUCCAUUAGGAGAGGUUAGAAAUCAAAUGCUUAAAAGACCAAUUGAACGAAUAAUACAGAAAUUUAGGCAGAAUCUAAUAGAAUAUUGCAUGAAACAUGAAACAUCAAUUCAAGUCCUUUCUUAAACGGAGAAUGCAUCAAACAAAAUCCAAAGUGUCUUGCAAGUCUGUAGCGUGAGCAAAAAAUUGUAAAUAUGUAGAACCAAAUUAUUCAAGUACAGAAGAACGAGCAAGCUAAAUCAUGUAUAAGAGAUUGGCCUGGUUCGGGAUAGCUUCUUCACUGUAUCUGAAGGGUUGGCUCAAUCUCUUCUUUAGAAUUCUGCAGAUUUUGUAAUUACUCGUGUAAGCAAGUAUACAUUGCCACCAUAAGAAUAAUGAAGCUAGAGUAAUGAUAUGACCACCACCUCUUGUGCACAAACAAUAUUGUAUAAACUAAUGCGACAUAAUAUGAUUGGUUAAACAAAAACAUUACAUGGCCCUCAUAAUUUAUUUAUUUAUUUAUUAUUAUUAUUAUAUAUUUUCAGUCAACCAAUCAUAUUAUAUCACAUUAGUUUCUAUAAAAUAAUUUGCUAAAUAGCACCAAAACUUAAUUGAUACUCACCAUUUCAUUGAACAAUUUUUUUAUGGUGUCAUUGAGGUUGCCUUCCCAACAUCGUUCAUCAUCAUCUUUUUCUUCUUUGGUGACGUUCACUUUGUUUAGCAUUGGUGUGUCUAAGAGUCCUUGAGAGAAGAUCUUCAUUUUUGGACACUGUCUCACAACUACUUGUUUCAAGGACGGGAAUUCAAGAGCGUAAUUACCUAAACAAAAGCUUGUUAGGCUUGGCAAACAAUCAAGUCUCAAGUACUCCAAUUCCUUGAAAACAUUGCAAUCUUUCGCUUCUUCUCCAACCUGCAAUUGUAUGAUUUGUUCUAUCAUUUUGCAAUCAACUAUCAUCAUUCUUUUGAGAUUCACUAGAUUUUUAGAUGCUGAGAGCGUCAACACAUUUAUCAAUCCGUGACACUUCGAUACUGCCAAAGCCUCAAGAUUUUCCAAAUGCCACGAAGGUGGUACUAAUUUUUGCAACUUACUACAUUCCGAUAUUUUUAGACUUUUCAAGUUUGCAAACACUUUGUUGGAUUCGGCAUUUUCCUUCCAGAGAUGGUGCACUUUGUGUAAUCCAGACAGCUCUAACCAUCUCAAUCGAGGGAAUGAAACCUGAAAAUCAACAAAAUUAAGUUGUAAAUGAAAAUAUGUAUCCAAUCUCUGCAGUCUUCCCCUGCAUAUUUUAUGGACAAGAUUAAUCACGACAUUUUAUAUUUUUUUUCCAAAUUAGAAUGCUUUGCAGUAGGAUCCCAAAUAUAAGUAUCAAAUCGAUUACCCUUUGAAACACAUAAAUGAAAUCUGAUACUAAAUCCAAUAUGAAUUAGCUAGGAAAACAGAGAUGUUACACACAUAAUUAAUAGAGUUCAUCACCUCGUGUUACCAGGCAUCCAAUUAAUUUAAGACAUUUUAAUAAUUCAUAUUAUAAAGUUAGUUGAUAGCGGAGGUUAUAUUGUUAAAUCAUAUAUAAAUUAAGACGACGUGCAAAAAGAGGAGUCAUUAAAUUCGAUUUGAUUCUAACGAAAUUACAUCUAUGCGAAUGAAAGUGAAGGGAAAUAAUAAUAAUAAUAAUAAUAAUCACCUUUUCAUCGAAGAGAGGUUGUACUUGAUGAGCCAGCAAGAAGUUCUCUUCUGAUGUUAAUUUUUGAGGUUCCUUAUUAUCCGCUGUCAUGUGCAGUACAGAGUUGGAUAUGAAUGUUUCUAUAUCUCGGCAAUUCUCAAUAGUUAGAUUUCUCAACAUAGGCAUUUCAAUUAUAUUCCCAGUGAAGUUGCAGAAUCUUUUGAGUUUUGGAAGAUCAGUGAGCCUCAGCCUGUAAAGCUUAGGAAACAGGGGGCUUAUAUGUUCUUUGUCAGCAUUUAGCUCCUCCAAAUGAAGCACCUCUUCUAUUGAAUCACAAUUCCUCUCUUCCAGCCAUACCAAAUUGUUCAAGCACCGUAGCAGAUUGGCAGGAAUAGCACUCGACAUAUUCGUGCAGUCAUCCACAGCCAGUUGUCGUAAAUUGUUGAAGAAGCUGACAGGCAGUGCUUGGCCAUGCCAUAUUUCUUUCAAACGUGGAAAAUGUGAGAGUUGCAAAUCCCAUAUGUCACGGAAUCCAAUCUGCACAAACAAAAACAAUUGCACUGGAUAUAUAUAAAUUUUUUUUUUGAAUCAACUUACAUGUUUUGUGUUUUAACUUCUAAAACUAUAUAUACAAGGCAGGUGUAUAUGUUCAAAUGUCCAAGUGCAAGGGAGAUGCAUAAGUAAUUUCGACGAAUCGAUUUAACACAUACCAUUUCUUCGUAACACUUUUGUAUAGUGGAAUUAAGGUUGCCUUCCCAAUGGCGCAAUUCACCCUCUCCCUGUUAAGAAUAGAAUUAGUUAGUUAAUGAGUAUGCUGACAUGGCAGCUGAGUCAGCUAAAGGUUGUUAUAGAGGUUGUUAGUAGUAAACUGUGCGUGUGUGCAAUGUGUGUAGAAUCUUCUAUGCACAUAUAAAAAGGCUUGUAAUUUCCAGAUUCAUUAGAUCAAUAAUAACAGAAUUCUCAGCUUACAGAAGUUUUCUUUCUUCCUAUUUUCUUAGUAACCAAACAACAUCACAGUUUCAUAUAAAACUUAAUACUUCCUUUUUACUCACAUGCACUUCGUGCAGCUUUGGUGUGGAUACGAUUCCCUGAGAAAAAGUCUUCAUGUUCGGGUAACAUGUCAUAGAAACUCGUUCCAAUGAUGGGAAUUCAAGAGUGUAAUCCUCCAAACAAAAGCUGGUAAGCCUUGGUAAAUGAUUUCAGGUAAUUUUUAAAUAUUCUAAAUUCAUUUAGAAUAUUUAAAUGAAUUUAGAAUAUUCACUAUUUAGUAUUAGGAAUGGAGAAAGAAUUUCAGGUAAUUUUUAAAUAUUCUAAAUUCAUUUUUCAUCUUGAUUCUAGUUUUUUAAAAAAAUUUAAUUUUCAAACAUGCGUAUUUUUAAAAUAACUAAACUAAAACGCUGUAUUUCCCUUUUUUUCCCGAUAUUCAUGCUUUUAAAAAUGGAAAACAUUUCUGGAAAACACUUCCCAACGCCAUCAACAUGGGACUGUUAUAGAUGAAUUAAGGAAAAGAGAAAUAUAUAGAUGAAUUUGUGAACCUAUAAGAUGAGUGACUAUCCUUUAAUUUUUGAAAAUUGUACUUAUUAAGAUAUGAGCAGAAACAAUUAAAUUGAAUUAUAUUAUGCUGUUGAAUCGUGAUUAAAAAAAUUAUAUUGUUGAUUCUAAUGCUGGCGAACCUAAAAACUGGACUUAAAAUGUAGAUUUGAGAGUGGUGGUUCGAAGUACAAUACUUGAAAUAAAUAAUCAGUGGCUGAAUAUCAUUUGUAAACAAAAAAUGGUUAAAAUAUUGUUGGAUGUAAUUUGAAAAAAAAAAAAAGAUUCGAAAUGAAUACAGCAACCUUACCAAUGGAGGAAAAAUAUUCUUUAGGUUAUCACACUCAAAUAUCUCUAAAUUCUUCAAUUUGCUGAAAGACUCCGAAGCAAGUUGGUGGUGCCAUAUUAUUCUCAAAUUAUUCAUCCAGCUAAUAUGUAAUACCUCCAACCUAGGAAGUCGUACCUGGCAGUUAAAGAUUAAAUAACUAAUUAAUCAAUUAAUUGCAUAAUCAAUUGAUAACUAAAUUAGAGGCAGAUAUUAACUAAACUUGAAGACUCAAAGAAAAGACAAAUUAAAUAUUGUGACUAAAAUUAAUUUUUUUUAUUAAAAAAAAAACCUUUUCGUCAAAGAGAGGAGGAGGUUGCAUUUCAGAAUGAUUGGUGUCUUCUGGUGAGCUCGUAGAGAUGAAUCUUAACAUAUUCCAGCAACUCUGAAUCUCGAGGUUUAGCAAAGAAGGGAAUUCAACAACUAAAUCUGAAUUAAUAUGUCCCGUAUUGGCAAAGCUUGUUAGUUUAUAAAGCCAAUAGAGCUCCAGGGAGUGUAGUUUAGGAAAAACCUUUAAUUCAAUCAACUUUCCUUCUUCUCUUUCUGACCACCCCGUGGUGUCGACUACCCCUUCCAUUGACUCACAAGAUCUUAUCUCAAGAUGCUGGAGUUGCAAAAGACUAUUAACCAUAGAAUAGGAAAACAGAUACUUCAUACGAUGACAACUGCUCACGUACAGCUUUGUUAAAUUUCGACAACAGUACAUUCCUUGAUUAUGAUCGGCCCAUAAUUUUUUCAUGUUUCUUAAUGACCUGAGAUCCAAUUCCUCUAAGCUCGGAAGAAUAACCUGCAAAGAAUACCCGUACAUUUUUGUUCCUUCAAGUACAACCGUCUAGUAUAAUAUUCUUUUGAUGAUCGAAGAUUAAUCGUGAUAAUAAAUUAAUCAAUUAAUUAUUGAACAGAAAAUUAUCACCUUUGGAGCAGGAUCAUCAUCAGCAGUGAUUUCGUUGAAUCCCAAAGAAGUUGUUGGUUUCUCCCUGUCGGGUCCUAUAAACAAACAAAAACAAUAUACAUAAUUAAUCUUUGUUUUUUUUUUCAAAAUAAUUGAGGCGAAGUCAAUUAUCCCACCGGUACUUAAUUUCAACACUUACCAACAAUCAUUUCCUGAUCAUCGCAAAAAGCCACUUCUACCUUUUGAAGCCGCAGUAGGUUUUUGGCUAUGGAGAAUGAGAAAAGAUGCUUCAAUUUGUGACAGAAUUUUACUUCUAUAAUCCUUAAGUUGCUGAAAGAUUGAUCUUCUGUGAGUUGGCUGUCACAUAUUGUCUCCAAAUUGAUCAAACGACGAAGAGACAAUGACUCCAGCAAGGGGAAGACUUUGCGACGAACCCGUCCAACUGAACAGACAAUAUGCAAAAUCUCAGAACAACUUUCUGCAGAAAGAUGCUUCAAUCGUGGAUAACCUUCCCCAUCAUCUAAUUCAUGAACAACAUUCUGAACACCCUUCAGUUCUUCUAGAUAGAGAUAUUCAGUUCUCGUCAACAACAGUUUCAUCCUGUAAUUCUGCAAAAGAACGCCAAACUUUUCCAGCCCCUGGAGCUUCAUCAAUCUUGAUAAUCCAGAUUUAACGGACCAGCUGCUCCACCACUUAUUUCCUAUACAUAUCCUAUAGCUUUGUAAUUCCACAGAGACGAAAUCCUGCGGUAAAAUUUCGGCAUCCCGAACAUGUAUCUCCAAAGUAGUUAGCUUUGACAGCCCAUUCAAUUCAGCAAGACUGGCGUUACUUCCUCCUUCAACCUUCUCCCACUGUGAAAAGCUGUUACCAAUAUAUAGUUCUUCUAAUCGAGAUAAUUUUGAUAUGACAUUUGGAGCUAUCACCACAAGACUGCUACAAUUUCUCAAAUCUAGCAACUGUAAUCUCGUCAAUUGUCCAAUUACAACUGGCAACUCCUUAACAUCAGAAUCUCGGAAGCUGAGAAUCUCUAAUUUCCUUAGCUGUCCAAUUAUAGUUAUUUCGUUCAGUCGGCAACCGUCUAAACACAAUGUUCGAAGGUUAAUGAGGCGACCAAGUGAUGAAGGUAAUGAAGAGAAAAAUAUGCCAGUAAAAUCUAAAACUUUGAGUUCUUCUGUCCCUUCAAAAAAGAGGUCUGAAAUUUGCAAAGAGCUAUCACGCUUUGAAAACAACAAAAGUAACUCGAGACGGGGACAUCCCAACCUUUCGGGAAGCUCUUGAAUAUCUCUAUAAGGUAAAGAAAUAGCAAUUGGACCUUCCCGUAUUGUCUCUUCCAUCUUUUUCUCCACGUAGGCAACAUUUGGAAUAUUAAACAUGAGCUCCUUUUCUGCAAUUGAUACAGCAACAGCAUGAAUGAUGUCAUGCAUUUUAACUUCAUCUUCAGCAUCACCGUCCAACAAUAAGCAUGAAGAUUUGAGUUUGUCGAUCAAUGCAUCCACUCUAUUCCUUGCAUUUUCCAAUGUGCGAACAUAUUUAAACAAACCCAAACCCAUACCCAUACCAUAUCUCAACAAGGAAGCAACUUGUAUAGGAGUACCUUCACCAAAUAGAGAACAAAGAAGGAACAAAGAUUUUGCUUCAUCACUUUCCAAGAAGUCGUAACUCAAUUUUAUGGAAGAAUACACAUCUGCAUCCAUACCAUGAAUUUCUCUUAGAUUGGAACUUCUUAGCUGAUUCAACGCAUCCUUCCAAAUGGCAAGACUCUUAUUUUUCAGAGCACUUGCAACUGUUCUCAGUGCAACAGGCAAUCGUCCGCAUUUUCCAACAAUCUCAUCCGCUAAAGGUUGAAAAGCAGAUGCUUUUGCGGAAUUGCCCACGAUCUUUUCAAAAAAUUGCAAUGCUUCUUCCUUUGAUAAAACUUCAAUUGGGAAAAUCUUCUGAGAAUUCAUAUCAUUGAUCAAUAAAUCUUGACUUCUA
rnacentral:lncRNA from 1 species